rnacentral:lncRNA from 1 species
AACACCGCCCAACGGCCGAGCUCCUGGAUGUGUUGGUCAUUGAUGUUUCCGAUUGGUUCCCAUCCAUUCUCUAUUGCCGUGUUCCACAAUUGGUUGCCCAUCCGUUCCCCACAGCCUAUGGCGGGUGAGCCGAUGGCAUAGAGGAACGCAACAACGAUGAUGAGGAGGAAGCUAGAUGUCCUCAUGGCUAUUGGAUUGUCUAGUGGGGUUCUUGAUCUUGAGAUAUUUAUGUGGGACUUUGGUGAAUUGGUGAUGUGAGUGGAUCCAAAACAAUUGAGGUAGCGGUGCUUAAAUAGACAUUGUUAUAAGAGGCAAACAUUAAUUGGAUGCUUAUCCAAGUAGGCAUUUACAAUGGCAUUUAUGACAACCUUUUAUACGGGGGCAAACUUUAUUCAAAAGUUAAUCAAUUGGAUCCAUAUCCGAAGGCUUUGACCUACUUAAAUUUAGAAAGGUUUAAAUACAUGCUUUUUAGAUGGUUGUAUUUCAUAGCAAAGGUAGUAACUAGUGCACCCACUAACAAGUUUUGAGUAAUAUCUUCUCCAUAAAAUGGUCAAAACUUAAAUGAAUUGGCCUAAGAUAAAGAAGAUAGGCAUUAUAAACUCACAAAAGGCAGUAGAAAGCAUGUAUGUAAACCUUUGUAUGAAAAUACACUAGUACAGAAAUGGCUAGCCACAACUUUUGUUUGUGGUGCGCAAUAUCCAACAAGCACCACCACUAUUUUUGUCCAAAUAGUGGCAGGGUUGGUAAAUUUGGUAGGACAUCGAUAUACCCUUAGUGUUGGCAUUGAAUUAUUUUAGCACGACAUUGAUGUUUUCUGAGUUUUUUUGGGCUAUACUUUGCUAUGGCGUGGCCUGUUAGGACCAUGCUGGUGAUGACCUACUAGUAUAGGGGAUCAAUAAUAGUCCUUUCGAUAAGUAAGAGCGUCGAACCCAAUGAGAAGCAGAAGGAAAUGAUAAGUGGUUUUUAGAAAGGUAUUUUCUUCAAGUGUCGUAAGUAGUAAUAACAGAUAGUUUUGUAGAAAUAUAAUUCGUAAUAAGUAACAAGUAACAAUAGUAACAAGAGUGCAACAAGGUGGCACAAUUCUUCUUAUAUCAAAAUACAAGCCGAAAGUUCUUCUUGUAAUGAGAAAAUCAUUCUUAAGGACACAUGGGAAGUCUCGUCUAGUCACGUUCAUUAUGUUUAGUUGAUUCUCGUUCACGACUUUGAUAAUUUCAUAUGUUGGUGGACCGGUGCUAGGGUGCCGUUCUUACUUGAACAAGCAACCCACUUGUGAUUACCCCCUCUCGCAAGCAUCCACAACUAUUAUUAUUAGUCAUAAAAAAAUUACGGGAUCAUAGUAGGUGCUAAAGAAUAAAUAUAGCAUAGGAGAGCAGCAACAAUAUCGAAUCCAUAUAUAAAGGACUUUGAAUCUCUUGUUCCACGCAGAAAAAAGGGCACGAAGUAACAGCGACAGAUUGCAUUGACUGAAUAAUAAAUUAUCAGACCAAAACAUGGCGUACUUAGAUUAUUUCAUGCUUUUGAAAUUUGAAAGUGUAUACUGCAUGCAUCAAAUUCUAUUAUCUCAUGAAAAUAUGGCAAUUAAAGAGUGGCAGCUAGGUAGUAGUAACCAUCUAUUUUAUGACGUGGAUCAAAGAGAAUCAAUCAUUAGUUGCUCAUGUGAGUAGUAAUAGAACGAGGAGACUAACCUUAGAGGUGUGUCUGCUGGGAACAUAGUAGGCAUUAAAGUAAAAUAGCAUAGCAGUUUGUGGCCUGCGGCAAAUAUGUAAGAAAGAGUGGAAAUUUUGUCAGGCCAAUUAUUUGCCAGUGCGCUCCAUUAAUCAUAACAUGAGCCAAUCCUUGUAAAUACAAAAUAUCAGGGAGCGCACGCUGCAUGAGUUCAACACCAGCUUUGAUGCCUUAUGUACCGGGAUUGAGGGAGUAGUGGUAGUCUCUCUUGCACAAAAUCAAUUGAGGGGACAAAUUCCUUGCCAUGUUUGGCAAUUGCUUGCUACUUCUUGAGCUUGCGUUGGUUUUUCCCUUGAAGAGCAAAGGGUGAUGCAGCAAAGUAGAGAUACGUAUUUCCCUCAGUUAAGAACCAAGGUAUCAAUCCAGUGGGAGAAGAAUGCGCAAAUCACCAAUACCUACAAAAACAAUCAAACACUUGCACCCAACGCGAUAAAUGGGUUGUCAAUCCCUUCACGGUCACUUCCAAAAGUGAGAUCUGAAAGUAAAAGAUUGCAAAAUAGUAGAUAGGAAACUAAUAUGAUGGAAAAUAGACCCGGGGGCCAUAGGUUUCACUAGAGGCUUCUCUCAUGAAGGCAAUUAAUACGGUGGGUGAACAAAUUACUGCCGUGCACUGAUAGAAAAGCGCAAAGUUAUGACGAUAUCCAAGGCAAUGAUUAUGUAAUAUAGGCAUCACGUCCGUAUCAAGUAGACCGACUCCUGCCUGCAUCUACUACUAUUACUCCACACAUUGACAGACUCCUGCCUGCAUCUAGAGUAUUAAGUUCAUAAAGAACAGAGUAACGCAUUAAGUAAGAUGACAUGAUAUAGAGGAAUAAAAGCAAUAUGAUGUAAACCCCAUCUUUUUAUCCUCGAUGGCAACAAUACAAUACGUGCCUCGCUACCCCUACUUUGUCACUGGGUGAGCACACCGCAAGAUUGAACCCAAAGCCAAGCACUUCUCUCAUUGCAAGAAAAACCAAUCUAGUUGGCCAAACCAAACCAAUAAUUCUAAGAGAAUUAUAAGGAUAUCAAAUCAUGCAUAUAAGAAUUCAGAGAAGAUUCAAAUAAUAUUCAUAGAUAAGCUAAUCAUAAAUCCAAAAUUCAUCGGAUCUCGACAAACACACCGCAAAAGAAGAUUACAUCGGAUAGAUCUCCAAGAACAUCGAGGAGAAUAUGGUAUUGAGAAUAAAAGAGAGAGAAGAAGUCAUCUAGCUACUAGCUAUGGACCCGUAGGUCUAUGGUAAACUACUCACGCUUCAUCGGAAGGGCAAUAGAGUUGAUGUAGAUGCCCUCCGUGAUCAAAUCCCCCUCCGACAGGAUGCCGGAAAAGGCCCAAAUAUGGGAUCUCAUGAGAACAGAAGGUUGUGGAGGUGGCAAAGUGUUUUCGUUGAUGCUUCUGAGGGUUUCGGAAUAUUUGUGAAUUUAUAGGACGGAGAAGUAGGUUCGUGGAGUUACGAGGGGCCCACAAGGCAGGGGGCGCGCCCAUCCCCUAGGGCUCGCCCUCCACCCUUGCCGCCGCCUCGUGGCUCUUCUGAGUUGCACUCCAAGUCCCUUGGAUGUCUUCUGGUCCAAGAAAAAUCAUCGUAAAGUUUCAUUCCAUUUAAACUCCGUUUGAUAUUCCUUUUCUGCGAAACUCAAAAACAAGGAAAAAAUAGAAACUGGCACUGGGCCCUAGGUUAAUAGGUUAGUCCCAAAAAUAAUAGAAAAUAGCAUAUUAAUGCAUAUAAAACAUCCAAACAGAUAAUAUAAUAGCAUGGAACAAUCAAAAGUUAUAGAUACCACUACAAAAAAAGACACAUCUGUGACAUUUUGGGCCGAACAGAAAUCUUUUCUGUCAUACUUAUGACACUUCUAUGACGAUAAUUGUGACAAAACCCAGUAUCAUCAUAGAUGUGGUGGGGUCCUACUUCUAUGACAAAAAAUCAUGACAGAAAAUGGGCUUUUCGUCCUGGGCGGGCCGGAGACGCAGUUGCAUGACAUUCUUUGGGCCGUCCAUGACGGAAAAAACCGUGGUACAAGCGAGGGCGCAGAAAAUAUCGGGGAGUCCCCGGUUACGGUGGGUGGUCGGGGGCCGAGCGAUGCGCGUUUCUCUCGUACAUACGCGCGUGUGUGCGAGGCGUUGGGCUCUAACUGAACCCGAGCAAGGCGUUGGGCUCUAACUGAACACGAGCGAUUGCACUGCAGGCUACGCGUUACUGAACCCGAGCGAUCGAUCGAUGGCUGUUAACUGAACUCGAUCGAGCGAUUCCUUCGCUACUGCUGCUAACUGAAGCCGAUCGAUGCUGCCUCUGGAUGAACAGUGAGCGUUGCGGGGAGGGGGGGGUGGGUUGGAUGAACAAUUCCCGGUGGGGGUGGAUGAACAGGACCCCGUGGUGUUGCCUCUGGAUGAACAGUACCCCGAUCGAUCGAGCCGGUUGGGGCUGGAUGAACAGGACCCCGUCGAGGGUUGGAUGAACAGGACCACCCCGUGGAGGGCAGGAUGAACAGUAGACGGUGGAGGGCAUGAUGAACAGUAGCCCGUGGAGGGGUGGUUGAACAGGAGCCCGUGGAGAGGGCUGAUUGAACAGUAGCCGGUGGAGUAGCGUGCGGUGGAGGCUGGAUGAACAGGAGCCCAUGGAUGAACAGUCGUAGGUGGAGGCUGGAGGAGGUCGACGGUGGAUGAACAGUAGCCCGUGGAGGCUGGAGGGGGUCGACGGUGGAGAUGAACAGUAUCCCAUGGAGUCCCGUUUUGCGGUACGCCACACCCCUCCUGAUGAACAGGACCCCCGUUUCGACCGUAGCGCUCCAACACAAGUCCGUUUCCUCUGUUUUGCGGUACGCCACACCCCUCCCGAUCAACAGGACCCCCGUUUCGACUGUAGGAGGUCCGUUUCCUCCGUUUUGCGAUACGCCAGACCCCUCCCGAUGAACAGGAUCCCGUUUCGAACGUGGCCGGUCGAACACAAGGCCGUUUCCUCCGUUCUACGGUACGGCACGCCUCGUUUCCAUCGGCUGUUCCGUCCAAGCCCUCCCGAUGAACACGACGACACAUUCCGUUCCGACCUAGCCGGUUGGCUCCCCAUGAACACGACGAUGACGUUGUUUCUCCAUUCCGACCCAGCCAUGUACACAAGCCCUGGCCGUACGUAUGCGCGAGUAGGCGUUCGAGACCCUGCCCAUAUGUACGUACGUGGCCGUAUUUUCUUUCUUGCACACUGGCCGCUGUACGUAUGUGUACAUGCUACGUGCGCGCCUCUACAUCGACCAGUAUGUACGUACACGUUCGCGACCAGAAUGACAACGCUACGUACGCUUCGACCAGGUGGGUCCCGACUGUCAGGCACUUCCUUGCCUGCGAAGAUGUAGUUGGUGGGUCCCAGCAGUCAGGGGGCGAAUCAUUUUUUUUGCCCGGACGCACUUCCUUGCAUGCGAAGAUGUAGCUGGUGGGUCCCAGCAGUCAGGGGGAAAUGUUUUUUUUUUGCGAAAUACGGUGGCCCGUCCGGUGGGUCCCUGCUGUCAGGUGGAGGAAUAAUUAUUUUGCACGUAAUAAGGAGGCACUUCCUUGCUGUGGCCGUGGACCCAGCUGUCAGCCUCUCCACGUACAGUCCACGUCCGAUGGAAGCCGUUCCUUGACCACGUUGACCACGCCGCGCCGAGAGCACCAGGGCGGUGGACGACGGCGAGGCCUAGGAAGGGGACGACGCGGAGCCGGGGAAGACGCGGCAGUGGAAGCCUGCACGGAGAGGAGUACGAGGGUUCACUGGUUCGGCUGCGGUGUGAGGCUGCCGUCGCCGCAGGGCCUGGCCAGCGGUGGGAAUAGUAGGGGGCGGUGAGGCCUCCGUGGCAGCACAGCCGACCACGGGAGGCAGGAGGAUGCGGCACGACCGGCGCUGCUUUGGGCGGUUGGAGCAACAAGACCAGAGGUUGAAGAAGCACUACGGCCGUUGGAUGGACAUCGUACGGUCACUGGAGCUAGAAUCGUUCAUAUUGACUAAGUUGACAAAGUACUCCGUCCCCGUCAACUUAGUAGGCCCACAAGUCAGCCUCCCACCAAGGUGGGUCCCAACCAACAGGGAGAGUAUUCUUUUUUUAUGCAUAAUAAGGAGGCACUUCCGGUGGGUCCGAGCUGACAGCGGGGGGAACGUUUUUUUCCCGCAAUACGGUGGCCCGUCCGGUGGGUCCCAGCAGUCAGGGGGGAAACGUUUUUUCGCGAAAUACGGUGGCCCGUCUGGUGGGUCCCUGCUGUGAGGUGGAGGAAUCAUUAUUUUUCGCAUAAUAAGGAGGCACUUCCUUGCUGCCGUCGUGGACCCAGCUGUCAGCCUCUCCACGUACAGUCCACGUCCGAUGGAAGCCGUUCCUUGACCAUGUUGACCACGCCGCGCCGAGAGCACCAGGGCAGUGGACGACGGUGAGGCCUAGGAAGGGGACGACGCGAAGCCGAGGAAGACGCGGCAGUGGAAGCUCGUGCGGACAGGAGUACGAGGGUUCACUGGUUCGGCUGUGGUGUGAGGCUGCCAUCGCCGUGGAAUAACAGGGGGUGUGGGUGAGUAGAGGGAUGGCCUGGCCAGCGGUGGGAGUAGUAGGGGGCGGUGAGGCCUCCGCGGCAUCAUAGCUGGCCACGGGAGGUUGGAGCACGUGGCACGACUGGCGCUGCUUUGGGCGGCUGGAGCAAGAAGACCAGAGGUUGAAGAAGCACUACGGCCGUUGGAUGGACAUCGUACGGUCACUGCAGCUAGAAUUGUUUAUAUUGACUAAGUUGACAAAGCCCUUGGUAGGCGUCAACUUAGUAGGCCCACGGGUCAGCCUCCGAAACGGUGCACCCCAGAUGUCAAGGGGAGGAAUCAUUUUUGGGCGGCUGAAGCAAGAAUAUCCGAGAUUGAAGAAGAAGCACGACAUCCGUUGGAUGGACAUCCAACGGCCACAGCUGCCAGAACCGUGUGUUGUUGACAAAACCUUGCAUACGCGUCAACUUAGUUUUUUUUAGGGGACGCGUCAACUUAGAAGGCCCACAAGUGUGUGGCAGAGAACAUAUAGCCCAUUUGCGAUUUAUAAGAAUGUACAGCCAAUUUUUUAAUUCUAAUGGAAUUUACUACAGCCCAUUUAUAGUUUGUUAAAAGUACAUCCCAUUUUCUAGCUAGGACAACGAUUAAUAAUUUCAACCAACCGCUCAAAAUAGAAUUCAAAAAAAAUUCCCACAUUUUUAUGGGAUCCCAAAUAUUUUAAUCCGAAAUUUCUAGUCAGAUUAAAUAUAAUUUCAAAAUAAAGUUGUAUUACGUUAAAAUCCAACGAAAUAUUGCGCGCGCAACAAGUAAUGAAAUUAAAAAUUUCAAAUUCCAAAAAUAAUAUAUUUUUUAAACUAAUUACGUGUUUGGUGCAUCUUUUUAUAGUUACUGCCCAGUUAUUAUAAUUACAUCCCAUUUAUUAUUUCUUAAAGUCCAUUUUCUUGUUAAGCCUAAUGCAUACCUCCUAGGAAAGUUUGCAGCCCAGCGGGGCGGAGAAUAACAAGUUGACCCGGAUAUUGUGUACAACUGUCGGCCCAGUUGCAUUGCUGAUGUUGAAAAAAAAGGCCUAUGUAGUAUAGUACAACCUAACAUGGCUACUCAGCCCACAUUCAGCGACGCCGGAAAGGCCCAAAAAAGGCUUCUGUACAACUUUUUGAAGUCACUGAGCUCAAUUAAUAACUUAAGAAAAAAGUUAGAUUACAGUGGAACCUAAUUAAAAGCUGUCACGAGCAAAGAAAUAAUUCAACGGGUCCCACUUGUGUGCGUGUGUGUGUGUGAGAGAGAGAGAGAGAACCAUCGGUCGAUACUCGUAAAUACAUCUUUCGGCCAUAUGCAUUGCUGAUGCUCAGUAAAAACUUAUAUAGUUGACACAAUCAUAUAGAACAUCAUAGCACACUUAACUUGCAUACAAAAAUUUCACGCAGGCGACACAAUCAGGAUGGAAGCAGUGGAUCGCUACGGGUAGGGCUAUGUUGAAACCAACGAACUCGUACAUAACGGUUCAUCUUCUUUAUCAAUGACAGGGAAAUAUCUUGAAUGCUGUGCAAAGAAAACAGACAAACAACACAAUAAGUUCUGCUAGCACAUUAAGUUGACGUACAACCCUUUCUAAAAAAUGUUCAGGUACAAAAUUAGAACAAGUCACAAUCAAAUGUAGUGGCACAUCAGUGCUUCACACCCAUAGCUCGGAUUUAACUAGUAUCUGACAAGAUUCAGUUGUUACCUCAAAUUAGAGCACAUCCAGGCAGUCAGCCCUGCCUCUUCUCCCAAAGAAGCAGUGACCUCCGCCGCGCGAUGGAGUAGGCCCUGUGCCAUCCAUCGUUCCGAGCAACACGGGGAAAGUCUGACGUUGACUCCUGUAAUGGACGUCGUCGACGGACCCUGGCACCAGCGGCGGCGGCAGGACUUCGAUUGAUGGAUUGACCACUUCUUCGACAUGCACCAACACUCGAUACAGGUACAUCCCUAACGUGGUCCGCGAAGGACUUGGUGGCAACGAAUAGUACAACCUCGGUUCCUGCACCGGUAUCUCAACACCAAUCACCUUGGGUAUGGUGGACGGCUUCUUCAUCCAUGCCAUAACCGUCAGAGCCCAGCUAUCUGGAGGAACAAACAUACUUACGAGCUCACCUCCAAGGUCGUUGAUAAGCUCAUUCAUGGACUCGCUGUUCCAAGCACGUCGAGGCAUGCCGUGGAAGGUAAGCUUUGUUAAAAACUCAAGCUCAGAGGGCACUGAGCCCCAUCCUGGGUGCCAUCAAUCAAAGCUCACCAGAGCGCCAUCGUAGAAUAAACGCCGGGAAGAUUCGAACACACGACUGCAGUCGAAAGUUGUCCGGAACCUGACGAAGAAAUCAGCCAGUGGCGGACAGACUUCGACGAGCAAGUCACUUAUUUGGAUGCCGUGCGCAAUGCCAAGAGCUUUGACAAGGUCGUCCGGCGAGUCGGGAGGCCAGUCGCCGUUGAUGGUUACAAGCAGCACUUUGCCGGCAAACUAGUCGUCAAGCGCCGCCAUGCCACUAUUGAGCGACAACAUGCAGCGACCGAAGGCAGGACGGACCUCAGGAUCUCCGGCUCGGAGAUCCGCGUUGACCGGCGACAUGAUAGUGAGCUUGAGUACAGGGAGUACAGGAGGGGGAUUUGGGGGAACUGGAGUACGAAUCGAGAUUCCAGAGGUGGGGGAGGGGCGGGAGAUUGGGGAUGAAAAGGUAGCUUGAAAUUCGAACACGCGCCAAUAUGCUCUCGGCGCGCAAGCGCACGAAAACACCGGUGGCGCCCACAUGUCGGCCUAAGAGUCCUUAUUCUUUCUUUUUUGGAGAGCCCGACCUUUUUUUAGGAUCUUUUGAGAGCCCGGCCUGAGAGUCAUAAUUGACCUGUUUGGCUUGCGUUACUACUCGGCCCAUAUUCAACGACACCUCACUGGCCCAAACAAGUGUACAUCAUCGAAAAGACACUGAGCUCAAAUUAUAUAACUUGAAAAAAGGAGAUACACUCUGAACACUGGAGAAUGGUGAUGCCCUCAUUUAGCCCACCAGUAGUUCGAGACAAUAAACAGUUCGAAACAACGAUAUAUACAACAUUCAAACACUGACUAGUGACUACUACUCACAUAAACAGCAAGACAUGAUAUUUCAUAAGAAGUCUUGCUACACCACCAAAACGCACCCAUUUGCAGCGCUCAGACUCUUGUGAUCCAGACGAGAAUGACAUUCUAAACAGAGCCAACUAUUACAUAGUAAGAGUGACAUAGACGAGGAUGACCAAAUGACAAGGAAUAUGCAUAACAGAAGAAAGAACUACCCAUCCAGAACAAGCAGCAAAGACAACAAAGUCAUUCGAAGAGAUGAUCCAACACCAUCAUAAUUUGCAGCCCCGCUUCAGCGACCAAUGAUCUGGAGAAACCAGUACUCCACCCUUUCGAUACAACAGCCCAAUUACCUAUCAACCUGAAGGCUUGAUCCACAUAACUGCCUGUCGUAAUUGAGACAUCCAAGGAUCAAAGUUAAUCCGGAUGCCUUUGUCAUUCUCACCUUCUUUUGGCUGCAGGCUGUAUCGUUCACAAUCAGGGGAGUUUGCUCCCGAACUCCUAGGGCUCGCCGUGUAGACACAGUUUUCCAUAUAAAAUAAAGCCUCUCUGCCAUCAAGGUCCUUGCCAACGGUGAUCUCCUGGUUAAUCGGAUAACUGAGUCCGAGAAACAGAGAGUGUGAACCAAGGCUAUUUACCCGCCUCCAACUAAAAAAUCCUGAAGGCCCCAACAAGCUGGUAUCCUGCUCAUAGACGUAACAGCCACUGUCCGGAUACUCACGUAUUUCACGGUGCUUGUAUACAGUGUGGUUUUUGUAAUAUAACUUUUCCGGCUCAUGUCUCUGAAUGAUCAUCAGUCUUUUGCCGUCGUCUGAUCGAGCGAGGAACCAGUUGUGCUUCCCUGUUUUUGGCAAAGGUGGUGUGAUUACAAAGGGCAGUAACUGUAGGGACACUGCAUCAUAUCAAAAAGGACAGGCAUUGUUAAUGUAAGAUUAGCAUUGUUCAGAGUAUGAGUAGGAUAAUGCAAGAAACAACAUUGAUAUGUCCCUGUUGGAACUAGGAGGAAAAUACAGGGAAAUGUAUACUGGGUUCGAAAAUAUAGAAGUGCCAUGCAUGGUUAUACUCAUGUUAUCUCACAAUCGAUUCUUCACAGGAAACUACCAUGUCAUGCAUGUUAUGGAAUCAUGUUCUGUCCUCACAAACAAAUUCUUCAAGGUAACUAACAGCCCAUGCAUUGUUAUAUACUCGUGUUCUGUGGGCAAAAUUUUUGUGAGGAUAUUAUUCUAGCCAUUGAUUGCUGAAGGGCGAAUAUAGGUAUGUACACAUGGUAAGCAUUAGAGGAUUUCAUUACUUCCAAAUAUAGAGUUCUCCAUAUGCACAUUUACUUCCCUAAUGUAUGGUUCGAUGAAACCAACAGUGUGGUGCAUGUUUCUACAUCAUGAAAAUGAGGAAACUAACAUGGCCAUUGAUACACACUCAUAUUUAGUAGUAGUAUAUAGAUUACUGUAAAAUAAGGAGAAUAUCCAUAUAUUCCUAACCGUUUGAUUAUUCAGGGGUACAAAUUGGCUGUAAUGACAUGAUCACAAUCGCACGAAUUAACUCAUUCCAAAUAUAGCUGAUUGACGGCGUCUCUAAUACAUUGCCAUAGUUCUACUCAAAUUCUGCUCAAACAGGGAUAUGCCAAUCAUCACAAAAAGUUCAAACAGUGUCAUGGCGUCAUCAUUAACAUGAGACGGAAACAACUUACACGCGACGUCCCAGCAAUACAUGGUGCCAUCUGCUUUGUCGAUAGCGUAGAUGAUGCCAUUGUGUUCAAUAGCAUCACAGAAGUGUGUAUCAGCUUUGACGACGAUCCACUGCGAGCUGAGUUGUCUCCAUCUAAAGAAGGCACCGGCUUAAAGAUAGGCGAGUCCCUUGUCGAACAAGGAAAUUAGCUUGAAGUCUGCGUAAUCCGCAUGUCGUGUGGGCACUUGGCAUAUUACAAUCUUCUGCAAAACAAGGUCCGUCCAACUGAAGCGGUAAUCUAGAUGACUAGGACCGCGAUGGUAAUACUCCAUAUAAUCCAACGGAGGAAGGAUAAUCUCAUGGGAGGUCUGGAAGUUCACGAGCACCAACUUUUGACCGUCUUCUCUGAUGGCAGCCAUCCAGUGGGAGUUCAUGUCGACCCAGUACAUACCUGCCAAGAAGUUUCGGGCGAUGGUGAUCGGAUCGAAGUCGAGGGAAAUGAUGUACGGCGACCCACUACAUACCUCCAAAGAAGUUUCAGCUAAUGGAGAUCGGAUUGAAGUCGAGGGGCAUCAUGUACGCCUCCGUAUCAUGGUGAGCCAAUCUCGCAAGACCAGAUAGCAGCAAGUAGGGUGUCUUGAAAAGCUUAGGCCUCGCUUCAACGAUGGCCGUGUGCAUGCCCCUCGAGCAUGCAGCCAGCCGCAGGGCGCUCAACAUAUCCAUACACGAACAACAGAGGUCGAGGACGUCACUGGGGAGAUACUCCAAUCGCGGCUCAUAUGGAUCAUGCGCGGUUCGUGUUCGGCCAUGGUGGAGUUUGGAAGGUGGGGUUUUGGGGGGCUUGAUUUACGGGGGAGAAGGCUGUCGGUGCUGGAGCGGCUAGCAAGGGAAUAGUGGUACUGGGGGAGGCGAGCGAGGCGAGGGUAUGCGGGGGCACAGUGAGAUAAUGAAGAGUGACCUCAGGAUCUCCGGCGAGACGGAGAUGGAGAUGGAGUGGUGCUACGGGAGAGGGAGACGAGGCGAGGCAUGCUAUACAGCGGCGUUGACAGUGACUGCUGAUAACCCACAAGUAUAGGGGAUCGCAACAGUUUUCGAGGGUAGAGUAUUCAACCCAAAUUUAUUGAUUCGACACAAGGGGAGCCAAAGAAUAUUCUCAAGUAUUAGCAGUUGAGUUGUCAAUUCAAUCACACCUGGAUAACUUAGUAUCUGCAGCAAAGUAUUUAGUAGCAAAGUAAUAUGAUAGUAGUGGUAACGGUAACAAAAGUAACGGAAGCAAAAGUAAUAUUUUUGGUGUUUUGUAGUGAUUGUAACAGUAGCAACGGAAAAGUAAAUAAGCGAAGAACAAUAUGUGAAAAGCUCGUAGGCAUUGGAUCGGCGAUGGAGAAUUAUGCCGGAUGCGGUUCAUCAUGUAACAAUCAUAACAUAGGGUGACACAGAACUAGCUCCAAUUCAUCAAUGUAAUGUAGGCAUGUAUUCCGAAUAUAGUCAUACGUGCUUAUGGAAAAGAACUUGCAUGACAUCUUUUGUCCUACCCUCCCGUGGCAGCGGGGUCCUAAUGGAAACUAAGGGAUAUUAAGGCCUCCUUUUAAUAGAGUACCGGAACAAAGCAUUAACACAUAGUGAAUACAUGAACUCCUCAAACUAUGGUCAUCACCGGGAUUGGUCCCGAUUAUUAUCACUUCGGGGUUGCCGGGUCAUAACACAUAGUAGGUGACUAUAGAUUUGCAAGAUAGGAUCAAGAACUCACAUAUAUUCAUGAAAACAUAAUAGGUUCAGAUCUGAAAUCAUGGCACUCGGGCCCUAGUGACAAGCAUUAAGCAUAGCAAAGUCAUAGCAACAUCAAUCUCAGAACAUAGUGGAUACUAGGGAUCAAACCCUAACAAAACUAACUCGAUUACAUGAUAGAUCUCAUCCAACCCAUCACCGUCCAGCAAGCCUACGAUGGAAUUACUCACGCACGGCAGUGAGCAUCAUGAAAUUGGUGAUGGAGGAUGGUUGAUGAUGACGAUGGCGACGAAUCCCCCUCUCCGGAGCCCCGAACGGACUCCAGAUCAGCCCGCCCAAGAGGUUUUAGGGCUUGGCGGCGGCUCUGUAUCGUAAAACGCGAUGAAUCCUUCUCUCUGAUUUUUUUUCUCCCCGAAAGCAAAUAUAUAGAGUUGGAGUUGAGGUCGGAGGAGCUCCAGGGGGCCCACGAGGUAGGGGGCGCGCCUAGGGGGCAUGCGCGCCCCCACCCUCGUGGCUACGGUGUGGGCCCCAUGGUCUUCAUCUUUUGCAAGGAUUUUUUAUUAUUUCCAAAUAGACAUUCCGUGAAGUUUCAGGUCAUUCCGAGAACUUUUGUUUCUGCACAUAAAUAACACGAUGGGAAAUCUGCUGAAAACAGCGUCAGUCCGGGAUAGUUUCAUUCAAAUCAUGCAAGUUAGAGUCCAAAACAAGGGCAAAAGUGUUUGGAAAAGUAGAUACGACGGAGACGUAUCUACUCCCCCAAGCUUAAACCUUUGCUUGUCCUCAAGCAAUUCAGUUGAUAAACUGAAAGUGAUAAAGAAAAACUUUUACAAACUCUGUUUGCUCUUGUUGUUGCAAAUAUGUAAAGCCAGCAUUCAAGUUUUUAGCAAAGAUUAUGACUAACCACAUUCACAAUAACUCUUAGGUCUCAUGUUUACUCAUAUCAAUAGCAUAAUCAACUAGCGAGCCAUAAUAACAGAUCUCGGAUGACAACACUUUCUCAAAACAAUCAUGAUAUAAUAUAACAGGAUGGUAUCUCGCUAGCCCUUUCUGAGACCGCAAAACAUAAAUGCAGAGCACCUUUAAAGAUCAAGGACUGACUAGACAUUGUAAUUCAUGAUAAAAAAGAUCCAAUCAUACUCAUACCCAAUAUAAAUUAAUAGUAGUGGAUGCAAAUGACAGCUGCGCUCUCCAGCUAGUGCUUUUUAAUAAGAGGGUGAUGACUCAACAUAAAAGUAAAUAGAUAGGCCCUUUACAGAGGGAAGCAGGGAUUUGUAGAGGUGCCAGAGCUCGGUUUUGAAAUAGAGAUAAAUAAUAUUUUGAGCGGCAUACUUUCAUUGCCAACAUAACAACCAAGAGAUGGUGAUAUCUUCCAUGCUACACACAUUAUAGGCGGUUCCCAAACAGAAUGGUAAAGUUUAUACUCCCCCUCCACCAACAAGCAUCAAUCCAUGACUUGCUCGAAACAACAAGUGUCUCGAACUAGCAACAGUCCCAGAGGGAGUUUUGUUUGCAAUUAUUUUGAUUUAGUUUGCAUAAAGCAUGGGACUGGGCAUCCCGGUGACUAGCCAUUUUCUCGUGAAUGAGGAGUGGAGUCCACUCCUCUUGAGAAUAACCCGCCAAGCAUGGAAGAUACGGACAGCCCUAGUUGAUACAUGAGCUAUUCGAGCAUACAAAACAGAAUGUUUAUUUGAAGGUUUAGAGUUUGGCACAUACAAAUUUACUUGGAACAGCUGGUAGAUACCGCAUAUAGGAAGGUAUAGUGGACUCAUAUGGCAUAACUUUGGGGUUUAAGGUAUUGGACGCACAAGCAGUAUUCCCGCUUAGUACAAGUGAAGGCUAGCAAAAUACUGGGAAGCGACCAACUAGAGAGCGACAACAGUCAUGAACAUGCAUUAAAAUUAAUAAACAUCGAGUACGAGCAUGAGUAGUACAUAAUCCACCAUGAACAUAAAUAUCGUGAAGGCUAUGUUGAUUUGUUUCAACUACAUGCGUGAACAUGUGCCAAGUCGAGUCACUUAUAUCAUUCAAAGGAGGAUACCACCCCACUAUACCACAUCACAACCAUUUUAAUAGCAUGUUGGCACGCAAGGUAAACCAUUAUAACUCAUAGCUAAUCAAGCAUGGCAUAAGCAACUAUGAUCUCUAAUUGUCAUUGCAAACAUGUUUAUUCAUAAUAGGCUGAAUCAGGAACGAUGAACUCAUCAUAUUUACAAAAACAAGAGAGGUCAAGUUCAUACCAGCUUCUCUCAUCUCAGUCAGUCCAUCAUAUAUCGUCAUAAUUGCCUUUCACUUGCACGACCGAACGAUGUAAAAAUAAUAAGAGUGCACGUGCAUUGGACUAAGCUGGAAUCUGCGAGCAUUCAAUAAACAGGAGAAGACAAGGCAAUAUGGGCUCUUGGUUAAAUCAACAAUAAUGCAUAUAAGAGCCACUUCAACAAUUUAAUCAUGGUCUUCUCCUAUCGACCCCCAAAGGAAAGAAAAGAAAUAAAACUAUUUACACGGGAAAGCUCCCAACAGGCAAAAGAAGAACAGGAAAUCUUUUUGGGUUUUUCUUAAGGUUUAUUAAACACACAAGAAGAAAGCGAGAAAAAGAAAAUAAACUAGCAUGGAUAUUACAGUGAAAGAGUAUGAGCACCGACAUCUAGCAAUGAGUGUGUGUGAACAUAAAUGUAAUGUCGGAGGGAAAUACGUACUCCCCCAAGCUUAGGCUUUUGGCCUAAGUUGGUUUAUUGCCAUGGAUGGCCUGGCGGAUAUCCGUAGUUGUAGCCAGGGUCGUACUGACAUGAAGAAGACUCUGACUGCCACUGGCUGGCAGUCAUCUCCGGAUCCCAAAAGUAAUCAGACUGUCGUGGAGGCUCAAAUUGUGGUUCCGGCUCAGGGGCUGGUGUAGGGUUCCUAUAGGCGUAAAUGGCCUCCCACGGGAUGAGAUACGGGCCUGCAGAUAAAUUAAACAAGGAAGGAGCAGGCAAGGUAAUAGUCUCAGGGUGAUGUUUAUCAAAGAACAACUUGUAUUUAAGCUCCCCUUCCUUGUUCUUAACAAUAAAGUCAUGCGCUACCAUACUCUUAUAAUCUAAAUAAGCAUUGGGCAGGAAUUUUUCUUCUUUCUCAUAGUGCCUAAUAGGUAUGUUAUAAUGUGCAGCAAGGUGUGAAGCAUAAAUACCUCCAAAGAUGGGGCCCUUUGUACGGUUCAAACUUAACCGUUUAGCAAUAAUACCGCCCAUACUAACAGUGUUAUCGGAAAAUAAACCAUGGAACAAAAUGAUAAUAUCAGGAACACUAAGGUUACCACAGUUUCCGCGACCAAUCAAGCAACGACUAGCAAAUAUGGCAAAGUAGCGUUAAACAGGAAAAUGUAUGCUAGUGAUUCUUGCAUCGGAAACCUUCCUGGUUUCCCCUACAGUAAUGGUGUCAAUAAACCCGUCCAUAUAUUUACGAUGUGGUUCAUCUAAGGUACCCUCUAAGGGUAUUUUGCAAACCUUGCAAAAUUCAUCUAGUGGCAUUUUCUUAACAACAUCAUAUAAAUGAAACUCUACUGAAGGAGGUGAUUCCUUAGGAAAAUAGUAGAAGUUUUGCACAAAAGUAUUAGUGAGUAAGAGAUACUGAUGACGUUGGUCGCGGAGGAAGUCGGUGAGGCCAGCAUUCAUAGCCAAUGAAUAGAAAUCAUCAUAAAUCCCGGCUUCUCUCAAGAAAUCAUCGGAAGGCCAUUCACACGGCCGAACCUCCGCGGUGCGAGGAAAAUUAUAUUUGGGCCUCUGUGCUUCUUCAUUUUGCUUUUCCUUCGAGCUUCGGCUCGAUGAGCCCCUCAAAAAUCUCUUCAUUAUUUUCUGAAAAAUUCUGAAAAUUUUAGUAACUUCAAACAAAUGUAAAACAAACUCAACAAAAUUGAUAGCAACUACUCCUACAAGUGCCUAGAGACUAUAUCAAGCAUUAGAACCACUUGGAACCAUAUAAAUUUGACAUGCAAGCUCAAGAACAUGGUCACCUAGGCAGCACAAAUUUGCAAUGAAUAAAGCACUAGAACAAAAACUAAUUGGACCAAUGGAGGAGUCACAUACCAAGGAACAAUCUCCCCAAGCAGUUUUGUGAGAGGUGCUUUGAGCAAGGAGAUCGAAAAUCGCAUCAAAAUGAGCUAGAACUCAUGCUUGAGCUGGAUGGUGAUUUUUUGGGGAGGAAGAAGAAGUGUGUGGGUGCAGGAAUAAGUGGAGGGGGGCCACCGUGGGCCCACGAGGCAGGGCGGCGCGCCCAGGGGAGUAGUGCGCGCCCUCCACCCUCGUGGCCAGGUGCUUGCCCCUCCUGCUGUGUUCUCAGUGCCAGAUAUUCUCAAAUAUUCUAGAAAAAAUCAUAUUCCAUUUUUAGGGCAUUUGGAGAACUUUUAUUUUUGGGGUAUUUUUAUAUUGCACGGAUAAAUCAGAAAACAGACAGAAAAAUACUAUUUUUACUUUAUUUCAACUAAAUAACAGAAAGUAGAAAGAGGAUACAGAAGGUUGUGCCUUCUAGUUUCAUCCAUCUCAUGCUCAUCAAAAGGAAUCCACUAACAAGGUUGAUCAGGUCUUGUUAACAAACUCAUUCUGAAUAACAUGGAACCGGAGAAAUUUCGAAUAACACUAUGUUACCUCAACGGGGAUAUGCACAUCCCCAAUAAUAAGAAUAUCAUAUUUCUUCUUGACAGUAGGAAGAGGAAAUUCAAAACCUCCAGAAAUAAUCAAUGGAAUUUUUCCAAUAGAGUUGAUACUAUGAACUUGAGGUUGUUUCCUCGGAAAGUGUACCGUAUGCUCAUUACCAUUAACAUGAAAAGUGACAUUGCCUUUGUUGCAAUCAAUAACAGCCCCUGCAAAAUCAAUAACAUGAUAGAUCUCAUCCAACCCAUCACCGUCCAGCAAGCCUACGAUGGAAUUACUCACGCACGGCAGUGAGCAUCAUGAAAUUGGUGAUGGAGGAUGGUUGAUGAUGACGAUGGCGAUGAAUCCCCCUCUCCGGAGCCCUGAACGGACUCUAGAUCAGCCCUCCCAAGAGGUUUUAGGGCUUGGCGGCGGCUCCGUAUCGUAAAACGCGAUGAAUCCUUCUCUCUGAUUUUUUUCUCCCCGAAAGCAAAUAUAUAGAGUUGGAGUUGAGGUCGGAGGAGCUCCAGGGGGCCCACGAGGUAGGGGGGCGCACCCCCCACCCUCGUGGCUAGGGUGUGGGCCCCCUGGUCUUCAUCUUUUGCAAGGAUUUUUUAUUAUUUCCAAAUAGACGUUCCGUGGAGUUUCAGGUCAUUCCGAGAACUUUUGUUUCUGCACAUAAAUAACACCAUGGGAAGUCUGCUGAAAACAACGUCAGUCCGGGUUAGUUCCGUUCAAAUCAUGCAAGUUAGAGUCCAAAACAAGGGCAAAAGUGUUUGGAAAAGUAGAUACGACAGAGACGUAUCAACUGCACAGUGCACAAGGUGAGGCUGACUUUGGUAACCCGGACACAACGCCUGGACUGGUGUCACCUCGGGCGCAGGGUCUUGUCACUUCAUUGUGAGGACCGGAUGAAUAAUAGUAUUUUGACCAUCAAGUGUACCACAGUUGUACUACUACUACUAGUAGGAGUAGUAGGAACAUGAGUACACUCCCGUGCUAGCAUGCCUCUGGGUUCACUUCAUCCUCCAUCUAUCAUCCAUAUUGCGAGCAGAACCAAAUUCUCGUGCAUGCGGAAGCGCGAAGAAGGACUUUUCUUUUUUUGAGGAUAACCGCAUAUUCCUUAACCGUAGUAGGAACAUGAGUAGUACUCCCUCCGGUCCUCUUUUGUCUGUGCAUAACUUUUUUCAGUAUUUCUCUAAUUAGUCUGCGUAUAUACCCUUUUGCAUGCGCCCAUUUCCCUCCAUGCCCCACAUUCACAGCAUUAAUUAGCGUACGUGUAUUGUUGCCAUCGAGGAUAAAAAGAUGGGGUUUAUAUGAUAUUGCAUGAGUUUAUCCCUCUACAUCAUGUCAUCUUGCUUAAAGCGUUACUCUGUUCUUAUGAACUUAAUACUCUAGAUGCAUGCUGGAUAGACGUCGAAGUGUGGAGUAAUAGUAGUAGAUGCAGGCAGGAGUCGGUCUACUUGUCACAGACGUGAUGCCUAUAUACAUGAUCAUACGAGCAGCUGCAGCCCGACUCCAGCCAAUAAACUGCAGCAUGCAAGUGGGCCACUCUGUGCGCGUGGGAGAGAGAAAAGGAAACCGAAGAGCCCGUCCAAUCCAUUGCAUGCACCAGUCAAACCACCGCACCUCUCCUCAUGCAUGCGCAUAACUUCUCCCUUUUACUUCUCCAUCGGGAACGAUUUUCCUCGGCUUUUUCACUACUCCUUGAUCUUCAUUUGCAUCCAAACCACAGUGCAUUCACAUUGUUUUAACCUCUUUACAUCCUCCUGGAGUAAUUCCGAAGCCCCUAUAAAUAAUCAUCUUCUUCAGUUAGAUUAGCCAUCUAAUCCUAAUUCUCCAAACCAUAGCCCUCCGGUCCAGCGGUUCCAAAUGGCGAAAGAGAUCAAGAUGCAGGUUUUUAGCGUCCAACAUGUCCUCGUCGAAGGCUCGUUGAGCAUAGUUGCCACAGUCACCGACCACCCAAGGGUUGUUCGGAAGUGGAUCAACAAUGUAUCCAACUCCCUCCAAAAGGUGGAGAUGAAUGUCAUCGGUCUCAACGCAGAGUACAUGGAGCGUGCCACUGGGAAGAUCCAAUGCGCCGCUGUCCUUCAGCUGUGCCUCGAAGAUGAUGUUUUGGUGUACCACAUCAUACACGCGCCCUCCAUACCAGGUGAGCUUCACGAUUUCUUGUCUCGGGAGGACAUAUACUUCUGUGGGGCAGCCAUCGCAGGGGACAAACAGAAGUUGGAGCCGUACAACCUUGAUUUGAAAAGCAUCGCUGACCUACAAACCAGAAUAAAAAUUCAUGUAGAAGAUUGUGAUAAACCGACACGAUCCCUAUUCGAUAUAGCAAAUUUUGUGCUAGGAACAAAUCUUCAGAAGGGUGACGAGACGCUGGCAUUAAGGUCGUCUGGAUGGGAGAAUUAUCCCUUGAUGUACGAGCGGAUAAAAUAUGCUGCCCUCGAUGCCCGUGUGAGUUUCGAGAUAGCUGCAAGGUCCAGAGAGCUUGUUGCGAAGCCGUCUCCCACAGAAAAUGAGAAGAAGAAGAAGAAGAAGAAGAAGAAUAUGUUGCACCAGCAACAGGGCAUUAUGGAUGGAUGAACUGUUUCCUCUCUUCUAAAAAAAUAUUCCCUCUCUAUGUAUAUUGAUAUAGAUGGACUAUUUCGAUGGUGUGCAUGUCUUUGGAACAAGUAGUAGCAUGGGUUCGCUUGACUAUAAGGAACUAUUUAUCUGCCUAGCUUUCUCUACUACUCCUUCUAGUGAUCGGUAUGCAAUGCAUGUGUCCGUAGACAUGACAGCUUGUCCAUGGAAGUUCAACUACGGCGACCAUCACGUUUCAUCCACUGCCACUCGCGAUUCCCACGACGCCGCUCCAACCCACGGCACCACGUCCCCUGACGUGAGCCUCACCCCUCUCGGCCGCACCGCCCCUCUGCCUUUGUGUGCAUGACAUGUGGGCCACCUUAAAUGCGGCGAGCAUCAAGUUUCUACCACAGCCACACACGAUUCCCAUGACGCCACACGAACCCAUGACACCACACGUCCCACACCAUCGAAUUUUCAUAUAGCCAAGUUUGUAGCCAGCAAGUACAAUAGUUGAAUAUUAAUAUGUACUACUUUGUUGUUACAUGACCCACCUCGCUCUCUCAUAAAAUGCCUAGGAGCACGUGCUGCAGCCGGCUGUUAACUAGUAGCCCGCUUCUCUUCUCUUUCAUCUUCUCUCUCGUCCAACUAAGCAAAAAUAUAAUAUUUAAUGUCUUACAGCCCGCCUACAUCAGGCCGGGCACUAAGCCACUGAAGUUCGGUCCCGUGGGCCCCGAGAGGGAAAUGUAACUCCUGCAGCAGGCCUUGUGGUGCUCCCGCAGUACGAGCUCGUGCCAAACCCGGAAUUUGUUUCUUACUACUACCAACUACUAGUAAGGUACACGUGCAUUGCACGCAUGACAUUCUGGUGGUUUGUGCAUUAUGCUUCUACAUGUGGAGUCUUCUAGAUUCUACAUGUGGCAAAAUCUGGUGGAAUGUAGAUGAUAUCCAACGGCCAGUAGUGCUCGGAUUUGCCAUCUUUGUACCGUCGGAUUGGCUUCAUCCAACGACCAACUUUCAAAGUUAUGGUUUGGUUUGCAGCCUAAGGUUGCCACGCCUAAGCUUAGGCGUGCCACAAGUGUGUUUGGUUGUGUUCUCGUCUCAGCAUAGUUGUUCCCUCUUCAUGCAUGCUCAACUCAACACCCCUCUUCAUGUAUGCUCUCUUCAUGCAUGCUUCUAGUGUAUUUGUGCUAAUCUAGUGUGGACUCAUGCACCCUCCAUACACUCUACCAAACACCCAAAAAUGGGUCGAGAAGGGAACUCUUGGGAUCAUGCACCCUUCAUACACCCUACCAAACACACCAGGCAUGUAUUUGGUUCAUUGCUACACUUGUGGCUUGCCACACUUUUCUAGUUACAUGGUCCACAUGUCAUAGACUCAACUUCCUGCCAAAUCUUGCCACACUUGUGGUGGCCAUUUUGUCAGCCACAUUUUUUGUUUCAAACACACUUUGCCUAAGCUUAGUUGUGGCAAAGUUAGUCAUGAAUGAAGUUCAACCAUGGAGUCUUCUAGAUUCUACAUGUGGCAGAAUCUGGUGGAAUGUAGAUGAUACCCAACGGCUAGUAAUGCUCGGAUUUGCCAUCUUUGUACCGUCGGAUUGGCUUCAUCCAACGACCAACUUUCAAAGUUAUUCACACACUAUAUAGGGGGUAUAGAUAUAGAUGUGCCGGCCCGUUGCAAUGGAUCCAAAGUAUAUCUGUUUAGUGGAGUGCACUCUAAACACAUUAUCUAUUUACUUUUCUCUAACCUUUCGUAGCCAUGCAACCAAACCACAUAAGCUUCAUGGGUGCCCCCCACAUCAUAUUAUUCAUACUACGUUGAUAGAAAAAAAGAUAAAUCACCCAAAACAGGAUCUUCCCGUUUUUUGUUCCUACGAUGUUGUGCCGUGCACGUACCUACUAGUUGUAUAGUGGUAGUACUAGUUGUAUAGUACAAACUUGGUACUAGUAGGAGCAGAGUAGUACGGAAUGCUCCUACUCUAUCAACGAGCCCCAUCUGACACCAAAUUUCUUGGCCUCUGUGCUACAGCUAGAUCUUCCCCUCGUUUCUAAUUUCCAACCCGACGGCAGGCGGGGUGCGGUUUGCCAAUAGUCGGUUUGCUCAACGGCGGUCCCACAUGAAAGUGAAAAUGCUAGGCAACACGCCUUCCCUAAGCUAUGUGUCAUGCCGGACGGGCCAUGGAGUACUCCCGAUUCCCGGGCGUGUGGGGGGGGGGGAGUGCGAUGCAAACGCGGCAGGCCUUUUCCUUUUACUAGCAAUGUGCCUGUGCGUUGCGACGGAUCCAAAGUAGUAGAAUAGUAGUACUUGUUCACAAACUUGAAAGAAAUCACUCUUGUUUUGAUAUACUCCUAAUAUAUUACUCCCUCCGUUCCUAAAUAUUUGACUUUUUAGAGAUUUCAAAUGGACUAUCACAUACGGAUUAUAUAGACAUAUUUUGAAGUGUAGAUUCACUCAUUUUGCUCCGUAUGUAGUCACUUAUUGAAAAAUCUCUAGAAAGGCAAAUAUUUAGGAAUGGAGGGAGUACUUUUCACUCAAAAUAUAUUUCUUAGGCUGUUUUGAUGAGGUGAGGGAGGGAUGUGGUUGCUUUCAAGUUAAUAAGGGGUUUUCUGCAAAUUGGAGCAGAGAAGUGGGCUAUUGUUGCAAAAAUGCCACAACUUACCUCACAGCCGUUAGAUGCAGAUCUAAUGGUCAGAAAUGACGUAUGGCAGACACACCACCAUCACCAACUGAGUCUUUUAUAGGAGUAUAUAUUUCUCAGGCUGUUUUGAUGAGGUGAGGGAGGGAUGUGGUUGNNNNNNNNNNGAUCUAAUGGUCAGAAACGACGGAUGGCAGACACACCACCAUCACCAACUGAGUCUUGUAUAGGAGUAGGAGUAGAGAAACAUGUAUAAAUUGUAACAUUUUGGUUCUGCUCCUUGGCACGAUCGAUAGAUAGAAAUAACGAUUGGAAACGCUAGGGCGGGGCUAUUUCCGCCAGAUAAGCAGGGUACGUAGUAGCUAGGUUGGCGCAUCGUCGGUUUGGUCACACGCGGUCCGACAUGUUCUAGUGUUUCUAGCAAGAUGCCCGCGCGUUGCACGAAGUUGAUGGAAAAGGUAAGCACAACUUAUAAAUUGACGGAUGGAGUACUAGUUACAGUGAUGCAUAUAAUUAAGCAAAGGGAUCGCACAUGUCGGUAUUGACUGGAACGAGAAUGCAACACCACAAUAAGAAUUAAGGCCACGAUGAUGAUGCGAUCGCAGUGGUGGUUACAGAAGGCAAGAAGAAAGAUGCAUCCAUCAACGUACGACCUCCUCCUCCUCCUCAAAUUAGUGCGCCGGGCCACCGGCCGGCGGCGAAGGAGCGGUGGCUUUUGUGGCAAGGUCGAGGUGCUUCUCAGCAAAGGCAUCCAUGGCUUCCAGCCGGUUGAGGAAGGCCAACGUCAUAGCGUCCUCACUGGCCUUGUAGAUACCUAUGUACACGACUUGCUCGUACACGUGGAUGUGUAGGUCGACGAAUUCUUGCAGGGCGAGGCGCCUCGCGGCGAGUGCGACCUCCAGGUGGACAUUCUUCGUGGCGUCGGCGGGCAGUCGCAGGGCCACCAGUGCUUGAAAGAGGUUCCGGCCAUGGAGCCCGAUUAGGGUGGCAGGCAAUGAGGAGCCCGGGCGCGCGGGCUGGAGGAGUAUGGCGAUGUCGUCCGCGAGCUUCUUGAGGGCGGUGAACUUUUGGUGGUGGCAACGAUCAUCUGGUCCAACUGAGAGUCGUAGUUGGCGUCGACGGCGGCCAUCCACCAGCCGGUCUCCAACACCGUCUGGAGACGAUCCUCGGCGCCAUGCUGCAGGCCGACGUCGUGGACCAUCUGGCACAGCCGCUGGCCGCUCGCGCGCAUCGCCGCCAUGGGUCUGGAGUGAGCUCUUUUGCGCUUAGUGUAGGUGCUUGGGCAAAUGCUUAGGUGUGUAUGAUGUGGAGAUGCAUUGGAAUGGAGGGGCGCCUUUAUAUGAGGGCAAACUGCGUUGCAUUCACAUCGUGCAGCCUCUUUUCCCAGUCCUCCUCCCAUACUUCCCUCAUGCAUUAAUUGAAGGAGGAUGCAUUGGCUGUUCAACAUUUCGGGAACCGCUACUCCCUCGCUCGUCUGCAUUAAAGCCGUAUCGGGAACUGCGCCGCCCGCUGUCAAAUUGAAUAGUAGUAUUGCGCCGCCCGCUGCACACCCGGCUGAACACGCCUCCUCGCCUCCAUCAAACCCCUCCGUUAAACCCGCAUGCAGACCGAGAAUCCUACUCCGGCCACACGUCCGUUCAUGAACGGGCCGGAAUUAAACGCAACAUCGGCCGAGCUCCUCCCGUCCGCCCUCAGUUUAAACGAGGCCAGACGCCGGCCAAGCUCCUACCGUCCGCCCUCUAUUUACACGAGGCCAGACAGACAGUGGGCAAGAAUCACACCCCUCCGCCGCUCCCCCAUCUCCGCCUUCACCAAUUUCUCCACUCUUCUGAUGGCUUUCGAGGAGCCGUUCUCUGGCAUAUAACCCGGCUGGGUGGCCCGCCGAGCCCUCCGGAUACGGGCGAGGCCGCUCGGUGCUUCACCAACCUCGCUUUGCCCGACGGAGCCAGUUGCCGCCCCAAGCAGGCGCGUGGUUCAGCAACUUGCCGCUCCAGUUCAGCUCGAUGAGGAGUGGCGAGUUGCUCCACGCCGGCACGGCGGCGAGCACACCAGUACGGGCGUCGUCGCUGCCGUGUCGUACCGCGCCUCCCGUGUCUGUGGGCGCGCCUCCCGUGCCUGCGGCAGCGCCAUGCAGGCAGAGACAGAAGCCGGGUGCGUGGACAGCGACAAGUCGGUGGCCAGCUUUUCCGUGUCCGCCGCCAUCAUCGAGGAGGAGUAGAACACGGGAGGCCGCCGCCACUUGGGUCCCAUGAAGGCCACCGCCGAGGCGACGACUGCGCAUUCAGGUGGUUUCUUUGCUUCUUCGUCUCUUCCGAGGACCUUCGUCGACCCCGCAAAGUGUCUGCUGGGCAUGAGGAAGACAAAGGGAUCCGCGGGCGGCCAUUUAGAUUAUGUACUCCCUCUCCAGUUGGCGGGAAUUUUUUGUUCUAAGAAUGGAUAAAUUGUAUGUAUCUAUAAGUAAAAUAAGUCUAGAUACAUCCUUUUCUAGGACAAGUAUUUGCAGACGGAGGGAGUAUUAAUUAUACCAAGAUAGCCGGAUUGGCACCGCUUAGUUCAUGUAAAUGUAAUGAAAUCCAUCAUGUUUAUAUGAAGAUCCGGCUUUUUUAUGCGAAAUCCUUCAUGCUUAUAUGAAAUCAGUCCGUGUUUGUACGAAUUUCAUCUGGUUGGUUAGAGUUGUGAAAAUGUAUGCCGCUGGCGUUUGAUGUCGUCCUCCGCGGAAGGAAACGGGAGGAAAUUUGCCGGCUGCCGUUGGAGAUGCUCUUAUGCUAGAAAUAAUAGAGUGACAUCCAAUCCAUUUGAGUUAAUUGCGUGUAUGAUUGUCCCUCUAUAAAAAGUUAAUUGCAUGUACAGUGUACACGUGACUUGCAGGGUGGCUACAGCUUCGUACAGAAAUUUAAAAAGAAAUAAGUCCAUCCUUAAUCUUGUAUUCUAAGUACUCUGUGGGUUCCACUGUCAGUACAGUAGCGAAAGAAGUAUAUAUUAAAUAAGUAAUAUAUAAUAUAAAAAUCUAAAGUUAAAGACAAAAUUCGAACUCAUGUCAUCGCGUUGCGAGCAUCCGGCGCUAACCAGUCCAGCACAUUUUUGUUGUAGACCAUGCUGCUGAUAUAUCUCCAUGUCUACUCUUAUACUCCAUCCGUUCCUAAAUAUUUGUCUUUUUCAGAUUUCAAAUGGACUACCACAUACGGAUGUGUAUGUAGACAUAUUUCAGAGUGUAGAUUCACUCAUUCUGCUCCAUAUGUAGUCACUUGUUGAAAUCUCUAAAAAGACAAAUAUUUAGGAACGGAGGGAGUAGAAAACAGAGUUGGUGAUGAUGGUGUGCGUGUCAUCCUGCAAUAUAGGCCGUCGGAUUUAUAUCUAACGGAUAGGAAUAAAACUAUGGCAAUUUUGCAAAAAUUUACCCACACCCCUCUCCACGUUCGCAAAUACGGCCUUCCCUCGUUCAUCCUUUUCUCUCACAAGAUAAACUACUCAUACAAAUGCAUCUUGAUUUUCCGUGCAACGCACGGGCAUCUAGCUAGUUUCUUUUAAAAUAGUUACUGCGAUAAUUGGGUUGAAGUGAUAUAUUUUAUGUCUGCCCCGAAUGAUUUCGGAUUCACUAGUAGUAACAAAGAAAAGGUUGCCUUGUUAAUUAACAGAAAACGGGGUGAAAACUAUCACAUGACGCCUGUAAAAACGAGGCACACUGGGUUCAGCGUCAUCGUCACUAUAGCUGUGCGCGCGCGAGAAGUCUACAUAUCGAGGGGGCUACUGAGCGAGGCACAGAGACACAAUGUUCGAGAGAGAAACCAAUUGACAGAUUACGAUCGGAUUGAGUUGUCACCNNNNNNNNNNNNNNNNNNNNNNNNNNNNNNNNNNNNNNNNNNNNNNNNNNNNNNNNNNNNNNNNNNNNNNNNNNNNNNNNNNNNNNNNNNNNNNNNNNNNNNNNNNNNNNNNNNNNNNNNNNNNNNNNNNNNNNNNNNNNNNNNNNNNNNNNNNNNNNNNNNNNNNNNNNNNNNNNNNNNNNNNNNNNNNNNNNNNNNNNNNNNNNNNNNNNNNNNNNNNNNNNNNNNNNNNNNNNNNNNNNNNNNNNNNNNNNNNNNNNNNNNNNNNNNNNNNNNNNNNNNNNNNNNNNNNNNNNNNNNNNNNNNNNNNNNNNNNNNNNNNNNNNNNNNNNNNNNNNNNNNNNNNNNNNNNNNNNNNNNNNNNNNNNNNNNNNNNNNNNNNNNNNNNNNNNNNNNNNNNNNNNNNNNNNNNNNNNNNNNNNNNNNNNNNNNNNNNNNNNNNNNNNNNNNNNNNNNNNNNNNNNNNNNNNNNNNNNNNNNNNNNNNNNNNNNNNNNNNNNNNNNNNNNNNNNNNNNNNNNNNGUGACACUUACAUAUCCCUACUCUUAUAAAAAAACAGAGUUGGUGAUGAUGGUGUUCCUACCAUCCUGCAAUAUAGGCCAUCCGAUUUAUACCCAACGGAUAGGAAGGAAACUGUGGAAAUUUUGCAAAAAGAUACCCACACCCCUCUACGCAUUUGCAAAGAAGGCAUUCCCUCGUUCAUCCUUUUCUCCCACAAAAUAAACUACUCAUACAAAUGCAUCUUGAUGUUCGGUGCAACGCAUGGGCAUCUUGCUAGUAGGGAGAAGGAGUUUCUGUGACACAUAUCUAGCUAUAUUAAGGGAUAGGUAGAUAUCAUUUGUGCGAGGCAUACUUAAAGCAUCACGAAGAUAAAAACAAAAUUGUGUGCAUGCAAGUGCCGGAAAAAAUGAAGCGAGAAACAAUGUGUUGGAGAGAGAGAGAGAGCGAAAUCUCAAAACAAAAGGUGCUCUGUUGGAAUCCCAUUGUAUGUAUUCAUAUGGUUCCGGAACUCGAGUUAACCUUAGGCAUAUGUGUUAGAGACAUUAUUAUACUUUGAGACAUUAGUGGCUGUGGGUGGACGGAAUUAAAGGGGUGGGCGUGUUCGACAGAGAGAGCGUGUGUGUUUCUGUGUGAGAGACUUGUAGGACGGGGUGGAAAGACAAAUUCUAACCUUGACGGAGGGAGAGGAAUACACGAAGUGCGCGUGUGUGAUUCCGAUGACCACAGGGAAAUGAGAUAUGUAUGUGUGUGAGAGAGAUUGCACAAUUCAUUCACGUAACACUAUCUAGCGAUCGUGGAUGUGCAUCGCUUGAACAUAAAUCAAUAUCUACUUCGUAUCGUGGCCAAAGGUACAAUAUCGAUUCAACGCUAUAAAGAUUGGACACUCACAUAUCACAUUUUUUUCUAUUUAAAUAAACCUUUUCAGUUGUGCAUGCCAAAGUUACAGUGAUGUUUCUUCAAACAACCAAUGUAGCUAUCAUGUACAUGCACCAUUGUUACUCUUGCAUUCAAAAUCAUUAGUCUUGGAUGAUUUAAGGUUCUAUUAUGAAGUAAUAUGUGUAAUAUUCAUAUAUGAAUUCAACGGGUACGCAAUUAUGAAAUGGAGGCUAUGUAAUCAUAUGAUGUAACACUUUUAAGUAGCGGACUUCUUUUUGUGCGCCUCUACACUAACACGUGAAUGCAUUAUGUUUAAAGUAAAUAACCAAUUGCACUAAAUUAUCGAUUUACACGAGAAAUACAUAGGCUGAGCGUUUGAUCCCUUUUUUUGUGAACGCGCCACUACACCCGUACGAUUGGCCGCGCCCGUGUGAACGUCCAAGUUAUCGGCGCAUCAUCCCGCGUUAUUGUCUUUUUUUCUGGAGUAGACACACCGGUUAUUAACUGCUGACGCGUGCCCCGUGUACACAGUCUCGCAUGACCUUCCCGCUAGCACGGUCCAAAAUUAGUUGAAACUGGAUACGAACGAUCCCGCGGGCGACAAAAUAUCCCGCCUCCUUCUAAAAUUUCGGCCACCUUAGUCUUUAGCAUGCGAAAUUCCCCUUUUGUCCUUGGUGCAUGGAGACCAACAGUUACAAUACCGCCCUCAUCUACAUAAUAGGUCGGGGCUGCUUUUGUAACUUCCACUUCCCCCCACUACACGGCACCCCCGUUUCCUCUCCCCCUCCCGCAAAAAUGACUAACUCCACAGCACCAGAGCAUCUCACAUCACGCCGUCCGUACUUCAUCGGCCUUUCUCCCCUCCCCUCUCGAAACCCUAGACUACUCACUGCCAGCGGCGUCCACCUCGCCGGAUCUGCUUCUGCGGCCGCAUCUACCCCUCCCACCUCCCCUAGAAACAAGUAGACUGCUCAUCCACCACUGUACCACAGCCCAUUCAGUGUCGGCCUUGUCCACGGCACCGGAUCUGCUUCGCCGGUACUCUCGUCAACCGCAGCGCAUCUGCAGCGGCUCAUUCAUACUCCCCACCGGAGACGCUUCGUCCACACACCCCCCGGAGCCGCCCCACCGACGCCCCCAUCAACGGCCUCUGAUCCUCUUCGCCGACACCUUCCUCAACCCUACCGGAGCCGCUUCGCUGACAACAUCGUCAACCCCACCGGAGCAGCUUCGCCUAUACCAUUUUCAACCCUACCGGGACCGCUUUGCCAACUCACAAGUCCACGGCCUCAGAUCCGCUUCCUCGCACCCUCAUCCAACCUACCGGAGCAACUUCUGAUGCCCCGUCCACGGCCGCGGAUCCGCAUCGUCGAUACCAUCCUUAACCCAACCACCGGAGCAGCUUCACCUACGCCCUCGUCCACGGCCACAGAUCCGCUUCGCCCACACCGUAGUCCACCCUACCGGAGCCGCUCCACAAACACCCUACUCGACGGUUCUAGAUCUCCUUACCGGACCCCGACAGCCAGCACAGCGUCAUCACCGUUGACGUUUCUAACCUGAUUCCCACCGUCUGGCAAGAUGCCAAGCACCCGCCACGGCCUAGGUACUUGUCACCUUUAAACCCGUCCAACAUCACCUGCCCGAUGUACUUCAAAUAUACUAACAGGUCGCUUUUACCUAUUAUGCAGCUGGCAAAAACUACAAGGACGAUGUUUCUUCUGGAUCUAAUAGCUUGGCCAACCAAGAUCCUGGACCGAGGAUUGCUAUGAUCUUGUAAGCGUGUCUCUCUCUCUUGUAUUGUUCUGUGCCUGCCAGCGUGCUUUUCUAGGAUUUUCGACCAGUAAUCCCUUUGUGCAGACAAUGAUUUCUACUACUGGCUGCUAAAUUAGAUAUGUAGAUGUCAUACAUGAUACUACCUCGUACCUCCGUUCCUAAAUAUAGGUCUUUCUAGAGAUUCCAAUAUAGGCUACAUACGAAGCAAAAUGAGUGAAUCUACAAUCGAAAAUGCAUCUAUAUACAUCUGUAUGUGGUCCAUACUGGAAUCUCUAAAUAGACAUAUAUUUAGGAACAGAGGCAGUAGACACAAAAUCGUAGGUGGCAUGUAGGAAUUCCAGUACACUACAUUAGGCUCCCUUAGAGUGCCUGCUAGUCCAGCACACAGAGUCAUGGCUAGUUUAUGCUACGCACACAAUCAUUAAUUGGUGGUUUAAAUAUGCGCAAGGGAUAUGCAAUGUAUUAUCAUGUAGAGAUGUCUGAAAUUAGCCGUGCCAACUUGCAGAUUGGGUUACACAAUGAAAAAGUACAAGAUGUAUGUGGCAAUUUCAUGGAACAUCGCAAAAAAAAGGAGAGCCAGCGGUGAGCCUAUACAGUGUGCUAUGGUACGUCACUCCUCCAUUGCAAUCAUCGUGACAUGUUAUUUGUAUGUCAGUUCUAUUGGCCAAGUUUCUUAGGGACAGUUAUUACGAGUUAUCCUAAGAAAAUAAGCACAUGUGAAUAUAAGCUCCAUGUAAUAAGCCAACCAGUUCUUUUCAUUGCGUUUUCAGCUUAUCUUUGGUAUGAUAAGUGAAAAGUCUAGAUUGCAUUAUAUUUUUUCAUUUUGCUGCCCAUAUGAAAAUUAAUUUGACUUGCAAACAUCACAAAUUGAACCCAGUGCAGUAAUUAAUAUGGUAGGAAAAUAGACCAUCACUAUUUGCUCAAAAUGCAAAUACAAAGAUAUCAUCUACUUGGCCCAAUCUACUUUGGUCAAUGUUUUCCAUAGAGAUCCCAUUGCCUAAUUUAAACGAAAAAUGCAUGACCCACAUUUAAAUGAAGAACAAUUAUUUAUUGAAAUUCGAUGGUCCAAGUGGCUGGUUAUUAUCAUAUAGCAGCACCACCUGAAAGCAUCAUAUAGCAGCAGCAGCAGCUCAUAGCAACUCAUCAUACAGCAGCAGCAGCAGUGUGCAAUUCAUCAUAUACCAGCAGCAGCUCAUAGCAAUUCAUCAUAUAGCAGCAGCAGCUCAUAGCAAUUCAUCAUAUAGCAGCAGCAGGAGCAGCUCAUAGCAAUUCAUCAUAUAGCAGCAGCAGGAGCAGCUCAUAGCAAUUCAUCAUAUAGCAUCAGCAGGAGCAGCUCAUAGCAAUUCAUCAUACAGCAGCAGCAGGAGCAUCUUAUAGCAACUCAUCAUAUAGCAGCAACAGCAGCUCAUAGCAAUUCAUCAUAUAGCAGCAGCAGCUCAUAGCAAUUCAUCAUAUAGCCGCAGCAGCUCAUAGCAAUUCAUCAUAUAGCAGCAGCAGGAGCAGCUCAUAGCAAUGCAUCAUAUAGCAGCAGCAGAAGCAGGUCAUAGCAAUUCAUCGUAUAGUGGAUCAGAAUGAAAAUUUGGCAAAAAAUCAGAGGAGAUCCUCACCUUGUUGGAUGAGCUCAUCCUUCAACAGCACCUCAAGGCCACGGCCUGGGAGGUGGGGAGGGGGAAUAAGGUGCCUUCUGCCGUUGUGCAGCGCCUGCCGGAGUAGUGCGUUGGACGAACCACAGUGGAGCAGCUGCUGAAGACCAUGAGAAUGAGGGGCGGCACCAGAGGGAGGAGCAGCCAGGGAGAUUUCCCCCUUCCCGCCGGCCAUGUAGCCUAGCUGGACAGAGCAUCGUCGAGGACCAGGCCAGAUGGGACCAGUGGCAACGACUUGCUGGAGGAACCCUAGUGCUGCAGGCAGGGGAUCAAGGUAGAGGGACAGGGGAGAGGAGAUGCAAGCGGGCAGGGCAAUGAACGCUUGCGUGUUUGUUUUUACUUGAGGGUGAGGUGUGACGCGGGCGUCACCAGUUGCAUUUUGAGUGUAAUAUAGGCAGACAACAGAGUCAUUUCACUAUUCCCCUUCCCUUCAAUUUUUAGUGAGGUUCUACCCGAAACACCCCCCUCUAAAGCGAAAUUAGUUAAGCCCAAGCCCAUAACUCGAAAAUGACUUCUUUACAUCUUUUAUGGCUUAUUUUGACAAUAAGCUCUGAAAAGGCGGAAUAGAACUGGCCCUUAACCUGCAAUUCAAUUGUGCGUGCAAUGAUGAAUCACUCAUGCCUGCUAUAGUGUACAUUUAGGCAUCAUCAUACAUGGCAUAACCUAAUACAUGUGCAUUCCAUUGUAGAAUCUGGAAUAUGCAAUGUUUAUGUUAGUUCAUACGUUGCACAUGAUGUUUAAAUGCCCCUUAAAUCUGGUGAGUCAAGUGAUGGUCUUUAAGCCUCCUUCUUUGCUUCUUUUCUUGAUAUGUAAGAUUUGCUCACACAUCUGUUCAAUUGCUUGUUUGCAUCAGCCAGCCAUACUAGGACUGUUUGCUUUGAUUACUUGUUGUUCUUGACCUAGCACUCUAACAGAGCUUGUCAACGAUUUAAACACUAAGGUCUGCUGUAGUGGGGCCUUUUCUAACUCAUAGGUGACAUAAAGGUUUGGCUGUACACUAAAGUAGGCUCUCCAAGAGUACCUGGAGAUCCAGUUCGAAGGUAUGCCUAGUUUUUACAUAGUGCACACAUAGUAAAUGCUCAUUUCAUUGUGUGCAAGUGCAAGAGAUGCGACAUGUUUCAUUAUGUGGUGUUUUUUGUUAUAAUCUCAUCCUUUUGUGUUCACAGACUGAAAAGUAUGCAUAUUUAUCUUCCAAGGAGACGAGUAACUAGUUUGUGUCACCUUGCAGAGGGGGUGCAAUGAAGAUAAGAUUGAGGAUCUCCAAGUACAAGAUGUUAGGGAGGAGCCUUGCAAGAGAAGUAGGAGCCGCGCUGAGCCUCUUCAACCUGUUAAGGUAAGUCACUGUAUCCAACUCAACAGUUCAAUUCCUUGUUUGUUUCAGGCAUAGUUAAUUUGCUCUUUUCAAUUGCUUUAUUUGUCCUCAGUUAAUGAGAUGCCCAAAGAAUGAUGCCUGAUGUUGGGUACUUGUAUAACUAUUAGUUGACAUAAUUAAAGGCCUUACCAUUUAAUUACUCUGCCGAAGUGUGCCUGAAGCUUUGAAGUCUAUUAACCAACUAUUAUUGAAUGAGGCUCACAAUCUAGUUUAUACUAGGCUAAUGACUGCAUAGUUUUGCUUGCUGUAGUAUGUUUGUAUGAAAUCCUCUGCUGUUCAUUAUGCUCCCUAAGACUUUAAUUGAGCUACAGAAUGGCCAACUGCUUGCUUACUUCUACGCAACGUGCUGUCUAAAUUUGUAUCUUGUCUAUGUUUUGGAUUGGGCCCCAACAUCAUGCUCCUCUGGUGAGCUAAGAGAGAUUUCUGUAUGCAGGCUGCACAGACUACCUUUUUUAUAAUUUUUAAAAUAUCACCUGCUUAUGCUUCAUGACGUGUAACAUUAUUGUUAGUCCUUUUUUGCCAUGUACAAAAAUAGUCUGUCUUGCUCGCUUCACUGUUGUAACUAUAUUUUUGCCCUAGCCAUGUGUACUUACAAAAACAUUUCAGGAUGAAGUGACAUCAACACAAAGAUCUGCGAGCAGUGCGGCAUGGCCGUUACCGAAUGAUUAUGGAUUGGAAUUGGAAUGUGCUGAUGUUCUCGAGCAUCAACUAGAGGUGGCAAGACAAUGUGUACAUGAUUCUGAACGUACAAUCAACAAGUUGAGACUGGACAUGCAGGUAUUAGAUGCAGGAGUCAAAAAAAUGAAACAAGACACUGAGGUAACAACGAAGGAAUUGGAGAUUUUGCAGACUGAAAUUUGUGCUAUCUAAAUCCGACCAAUCCUAUUUUCUGAAGAGAUUAUAGUUCAAAUGGUAAGUUAUGUUGAUGCACGUCCAUGAUGUAUGAGCUGUAUUUGCCCAGUGUAUGUAAUUUGCUGUUUGUGUACGCUUUAUUAUCACUGGUGCCGAACCAUAGUGCCCAGUGGGUAUAAUCGGCUGUAAUCUCUUUAUUGUAUAGUGUAUGUUUUUUAGAGGUGAUAGUAUAGAGUAGGAUAAUUCUUUGAAUAUGCUAUAUCGUUCAAACGGGGGCCAACUCGCCCAAACGUUGUAUUGACUAUGGCCCUCCACAGGCCGUACGUUCCAUGGGCCAUCUACGGGACGGACGAUCCCUGGCCUUCUGUGGCCGUCGGAUUCGUGGGCCUUCUAUGGGCUGUCGGAUCCGUGGGCCUUCUAUCGGCUGUCGGAUCCUAAUACGUCUCCAACGUAUCUAUAAUUUUUUUAUUGCUCCAUGCUCUAUUAUCUACUGUUUUGGACAUUAUUGGGCUUUAUUAUUCACUUUUAUAUUAUUUUUGGGACUAACCUAUUAACCGGAGGCCCAGCCCAGAAUUGCUGUUUUUUGCCUAUUUCAGAGUUUCGCAGAAAAGGAAUAUCAAACGAAGUCCAAACGGAAUGAAACCUUCGGGAACGUGACUUUCAGAACGAACAAGAUCCAGGAGACUUGGACCCUACGUCAAGAAAUAAAGGAGGAGGCCACAAGGUAGGGGGCGCGCCUACCCCCCAGGGCGCGCCCUCCACCCUCGUGGGCCCCCUGUUGCUCCACCGAUGUACUCCUUCCCCCCAUAUAUACCUACGUACCCCCAAAUGAUCAGAUACGGAGCCAAAAACCUAAUUCCACCGCCGCAACCUUCUGUACCCACGAGAUUCCAUCUUGGGGCCUGUUCCGGAGCUCCGCCGGAGGGGGCAUCGAUCACGGAGGGCUUCUACAUCAUCACCAUAGCCCCUUCGAUGAAGUGUGAGUAGUUUACCUCAGACCUUCGGGUCCAUAGUUAUUAGCUAGAUGGAUUCUUCUCUCUUUUUGGAUCUCAAUACAAUGUUCUCCCCCUCUCUCAUGGAGAUCUAUUCGAUGUAAUCUUCUUUUUGCGGUGUGUUUGUUGAGACCGAUGAAUUGUGGGUUUAUGAUCAAGUUUAUCUAUGAAAAAUAUUUGAAUCUUCUCUGAAUUCUUUUAUGUAUGAUUGGUUAUCUUUGCAAGUCUCUUCGAACUAUCAGUUUGGUUUGGCCUACUAGAUUGAUCUUUCUUGCAAUGGGAGAAGUGCUUAGCUUUGGGUUCAAUCUUGCGGUGUCCUUUCCCAGUGACAGUAGGGGCAGCAAGGCACGUAUUGUAUUGUUGCCAUCGAGGAUAACAAGAUGGGGUUUUUAUCAUAUUGCAUGAAUUUAUCCCUCGACAUCAUGUCAUCUUGCUUAAGGCGUUACUCUGUUUUUAUGAACUUAAUACUCUAGAUGUGUGCUGGAUAGCGGUCGAUGAGUGGAGUAAUAGUAGUAGAUGCAGGCAGGAGUCGGUCUACUUGUCUCGGACGUGAUGCCUAUAUACAUGAUCAUACCUAGAUAUUCUCAUAACUAUGCUCAAUUCUGUCAAUUGCUCAACAGUAAUUUGUUCACCCACCGUAGAAUACUUAUGCUCUCGAGAGAAGCCACUAGUGAAACCUAUGGCCCUCGGGUCUAUCUUCAUCAUAUUAAUCCUCCAACACUUAGUUAUUUCCUUUGCUUUUUUACUUUGCUUUUAUUUUACUUUGCAUCUUUAUCACAAAAAUACCAAAAAUAUUAUCCUAUCAUAUCUAUCAGGUCUCACUCUCGUAAGUGACCGUGUAGGAUUGACAACCCCUUAUCAUGUUGGUUGCGAGGAUUUAUUUGUUUUGUGUAGGUGCGAGGGACUCGCGCGUAACCACCUACUGGAUUGAUACCUUGGUUCUCAAAAACUGAGGGAAAUACUUACGCUACUUUACUGCAUCACCCUUUCCUCUUCAAGGGAAAACCAACACAGUGCUCAAGAGGUAGCAAGAAGGAUUUCUGGCGCCGUUGCCCGGGAGGCUACGCGAAGUCAAGUAAAGACUUGGACUCCCGACAACGAGCCAUUUCUGGCGCCUUUGCCGGGGAGGUCUACGCAAAAGUCAACAUACCAAGUACCCAUCACAAUCCCUUAUCUCCUGCACUACAUUAUUUGCCAUUUGCCUCUCGUUUUCCUCUCCCCCACUUCACCCUUGCCAUUUUAUUCGCCCUCUCUUUUCCGUUUGCCUCUUUUUGCCCGUCUCUUGUUUGCUCGUGUGUUGGAUUGCUUGUUUGUCACGAUGGCUCAAGAUAAUACCAAAUUAUGUGACUUUACCAAUACCAACAAUAAUGAUUUCCUUAGCACUCCGAUUGCUCCUCUUACCAAUACUGAAUCUUGUGAAAUCAAUGCUGCUUUGUUGAAUCUUGUUAUGGAAGAUCAAUUCGCCGGCCUUCCUAGUGAAGAUGCCGCUACUCAUCUAAAUAGCUUCGUUGAUUUGUGUGAUAUGCAAAAGAAGAAAGAUGUGGACAAUGAUAUUGUUAAAUUGAAGCUAUUUCCUUUUUCGCUUAGAGAUCGUGCUAAAGCUUGGUUUUCGUAUUUGCCUAAAAAUAGUAUUGAUUCAUGGAAUAAGUGCAAAGAUGCUUUUAUCUCUAAGUAUUUUCCUCCCGCUAAGAUCAUCUCUCUUAGAAACGAUAUUAUGAAUUUUAAGCAACUUGAUCAAGAACAUGUUGCACAAGCUUGGGAAAGGAUGAAAUUAAAGAUACGUAAUUGCCCUACUCAUGGUUUGAAUUUGUGGAUGAUUCUACAAAACUUUUAUGCCGGAUUGAAUUUUGCUUCUAGAAAUUUUUUAGAUUCGGCCGCGGGAGGCACCUUUAUGGAAAUCACUUUAGGAGAAGCUACUAAACUCCUAGAUAAUAUUAUGGUUAAUUAUUCUCAAUGGCACACUGAAAGAUCCACUAAUAAAAAAGUGUGUGAGAUAGAAAAAAUUAAUGUUUUGAGUGGAAAGAUGGACGAACUUAUGAAAUUAUUUUCUACUAAGAGUGUUUCUUCUGUUCCAAUUGAUAUGCCUUUGUCUACUUUGAUUGAGAAUAAUAAUGAAUCUAUGGAUGUGAAUUUUGUUGGUAGGAAUAAUUUUGGUAACAACGCGUAUAGAGGAAACUUUAAUCCUAGGCCUUAUCCUAGCAAUUCCUCUAAUAAUUAUGGUAAUUCCUACAACAACUCUUAUGGAAAUUUUAAUAAGAUGCCCUCUGAAUUUGAGACUACUGUUAAAAAGUUUAUGAAUUCACAAAAUAAUUUCAAUGCUAUGCUUGAAGAGAAAUUGCUUAAAAUUGAUGAAUUGGCUAGGAACGUUGAUAGAAUUUCUCUUGAUGUUGAUUCUUUAAAACUUAGAUCUAUUCCUCCUAAGUAUGAUAUCAAUGAGUCUCUCAAAGCCAUGAGAAUUUCCAUUGAUGAGUGCAUUGAAAGAACCGCUAGGAUGCGUGCUAAGAAAGGUUGCUUUAUGAAAGUGUGUUCUUCAAAUUUCUAUGAAAAUAAAGAUGAAGAUCUAAAAGUUAUUGAUGUGUCUCCUAUUAAAUCUUUGUUUUGCAAUAUGAAUCUUGAUAAUGAUGAGACUGAAUAUGAUCCACCUCUACCUAGAAGGCGUUCUAAAAAUUCAGAGUUUUUAGAUCUUGAUGCUAAAAUUGAUAAAAGUGGGAUUGAAGAAAUCAAAACGUUAGAUAUUAAUAAACCUACUAUUUUGGAUUUCAAGGAAUUUAAUUAUGAUAAUUUCUCUUUGAUAUAUUGUAUUUCCUUGUUGCAAUCCGUGCUAAAUUCUCCUCAUGCUUAUAGUCAAAAUAAAGCUUUUACCAAACAUAUCAUUGAUGCCUUGAUGCAAUCUUAUGAAGAAAAACUUGAGUUGGAAGUUUCUAUCCCUAGAAAACUUUAUGAUGAGUGGGAACCUACUAUUAAAAUUAAGAUUAAGGAUCAUGAGUUCUAUGCUUUAUGUGAUUUGGGUGCUAGUGUUUCCACUAUACCCAAAACUUUGUGCGGUUUGCUAGAUUUCCGUGAUUUUGAUGAUUGCUCUCUAAACUUGCACUUUGUGGAUUCCAUUAUUAAGAAACAUAUGGGAAGAAUUAAUGAUGUUCUUAUUGUUGCAAAUAGGAACUAUGUGCCCGUAGAUUUUAUUGUUCUCGAUAUAGAUUGCAAUCCUUCAUGUCCUAUUAUUCUUGGUAGACCUUUCCUUAGAACUAUUGGUGCAAUUAUUGAUAGGAAGGAAGGGAAUAUUAGAUUCCAAUUUCCAUUAAAGAAAGGCAUGGAACACUUACCUAGGAAUAAAAUAAAAUUACCAUAUGAAUCUAUCAUGAGAGCCACUUAUGGAUUGCCUACCAAAGAUGGCAACACCUAGAUCUAUCCUUGCUUUUAUGCCUAGCUAGGGGCGUUAAACGAUAGCGCUUGUUGGGAGGCAACCCAAUUUUAUUUUUAGUUUUUUGAUUUUUUCUUAGGUUUAGGAAUAAAUAUUUGUUCUAGCCUCUGGUUAGAUGUGUUUUUAUUUUUUAAUUAGUGUUUGUGCCAAGUUAAACCUAUAGGAUCUUCUUGGAUGAUAGUUAUUUGAUCUUGCUGUAAUUUCCAGAAACUUUCUGUUCACGAAAACAAUUGUUAAAAAUCACCAGAAUGUGAUAAAAUACUGAUUCCAAUUGCUUUUGACCAAUAAACAAAUUAUCUAGGUCGUCCUAUUUUGGCUGAUUUUUUGUAGUUUCAGAAGUUUGCGUUAGUUACAGAUUACUACAGACUGUUCUGUUUUUUGACAGAUUCUGUUUUUCGUGUGUUGUUUACUUAUUUUGAUGAAUCUAUGGCUAGUAAAAGAGUUUAUAAACCAUAGAGAAGUUGGAAUACAGUAGGUUUAACACCAAUAUAAAUAAAUAAUGAGUUCAUUACAGUACCUUGAAGUGGUCUUUUGUUUUCUUUCGCUAACGGAGCUCACGAGAUUUUAUGUUGAGUUUUGUGUUGUGAAGUUUUCAAGUUUUGGGUGAAAGAUUAGAUGGAUUAUGGAACAAGGAGUGGCAAGAGCCUAAGCUUGGGGAUGCCCACGGCACCCCCAAGAUAAUCUAAGGACACCAAAAAGGCAAAGCUUGAGGAUGCCCCGGAAGGCAUCCCCUCUUUCGUCUACUUCCAUCGGUAACUUUACUUGGAGCUAUAUUUUUAUUCACCACAUGAUAUGUGUUUUGCUUGGAGCGUCUUGUACGAUUUGAGUCUUUGCUUUUUAGUUUACCACAAUCAUCCUUGCUGUACACACCUUUUGAGAGAGCCAUAUAUGAUUUGGAAUUUGUUAGAAUACUCUAUGUGCUUCGCUUAUAUCUUUUGAGUUAUAUAGUUUUGCUCUAGUGCUUCACUUAUAUCUAUUAGAGCACGGUGGUGGAUUUGUUUUAUAGAAACUAUUGAUCUCUCAUGCUUCACUUAGAUUAUUUUGAGAGUCUUAAAUAGCAUGGUAAUUUUUUUAAAUAAUCCUAAUAUGCUUGGUAUUCAAGAUUAAUAAAAACUUUCUUAUGAGUGUGUUGAAUACUAAGAAAAGUUUGAUGCUUGAUAAUUGUUUUGAGAUAUAAAGAUGGUGAUAUUAGAGUCAUGCUAGUUGAGUAGUUGUGAAUUUGAGAGAUACUUGUGUUAAAUUUUGUGAUUCCCGUAGCAUGCACGUAUGGUGAACCGUUAUGUGAUGAAGUCGGAGCAUAAUUUAUUUAUUGAUUGUCUUCCUUAUGAGUGGCGGUCGGGGACGAGCGAUGGUCUUUUCCUACCAAUCUAUCCCCCUAGGAGCAUGCGCGUAAUACUUUGCUUUGAUAACUUGUAGAUUUUUGCAAUAAGUAUAUGAGUUCUUUAUGACUAAUGUUGAGUCCAUGGAUUAUACGCACUCUUCUUCCUUCCACCAUUGCUAGCCUCUCUAAUACGGCGCACUUUUCGCCGGUAUCAUACACCCACCAUAAACCUUCCUCAAAACAGCCACCAUACCUACCUAUCAUGGCAUUUCCAUAGCCAUUCCGAGAUAUAUUGCCAUGCAACUUUCCACCGUUCCGUUUAUUAUGACAUGCUCCAUCAUUGUCAUAUUGCUUUGCAUGAUCAUGUAGUUGACAUCGUAUUUCUGGCAAAGCCACCGUUCAUAAUUCUUUCAUACAUGUCACUCUUGAUUCAUUGCAUAUCCCGGUACACCGCCGGAGGCAUUCAUAUAGAGUCAUAUUUUGUUCUAAGCAUCGAUUUGUAAUUGAUGAGUUGUAAGAAAAUAAAAGUGUGAUGGUCUUCAUUUUUAGAGCUUUGUCCCAAGUGAGGAAAAGGAUGAUGGAGACUAUGAUUCCCCCACAAGUCGAGAUGAGACUCCGGUCAAAAAAAAGAGGCCAUAAAAACAGGCCCAAAUAAAAAAAUAAAAAAGUGAGAGAAAGAGAGAAGGGACAAUGUUACUAUCCUUUUACCACACUUGUGCUUCAAAGUAGCACCAUGAUCUUCAUGAUAGAGAGUCUCCCAUUUUGUCACGUUCAUAUACUAGUGGGAAUUUUUCAUUAUAGAACUUGGCUUGUAUAUUCCAAUGAUGGGCUUCCUCAAAAUGCCCUAGGUCUUCGUGAGCAAGCGAGUUGGAUGCACACCCACUUAGUUUCUUUUGUUGAGAUUUCAUAUACUUAUAGCUCAAGUGCAUCCGUUGCAUGGCAAUCCCUACUCACUCACAUUGAUAUCUAUUGAUGGGCAUCUCCAUAGCCCGUUGAUACGCCUAGUUGAUGUGAGACUAUCUUCUCCCUUUUUGUCUUCUCCACAACCACCAUUCUAUUCCACAUAUAGUGCUAUGUCCAUGGCUCACGCUCAUGUAUUGCGUGAAGAUUGAAAAAGUUUGAGAAUGUCAAAAGUAUGAAACAAUUGCUUGGCUUGUCAUCGGGGUUGUGCAUGAUUUAAAUACUUUGUGUGGUGAAGAUAGAGCAUAGCCAGACUAUAUGAUUUUGUAGGGAUAACUUUCUUUGGCCAUGUUAUUUUGAGAAGACAUAAUUGCUUUGUUAUUAUGCUUGAAGUAUUAUUAUUUUUACGUCAAUAUUAAACUUUUGUCUUGAAUCUUUCGGAUCUGAAUAUUCAUACCACAAUUAAGAAGAAUUACAUUGAAAUUAUGCCUACUAGCACUCUGCAUCAAAAUUUCUGUUUUUAUCAUUUACCUACUCGAGGACGAGCAGGAAUUAAGCUUGGGGAUGCUUGAUACGUCUCCAACGUAUCUAUAAUUUUUGAUUGCUCCAUGCUAUAUUAUCUACUGUUUUGGACAUUAUUGGGCUUUAUUAUUCACUUUUAUAUUAUUUUUGGGACUAACCUAUUAACCGGAGGCCCAGCCCAGAAUUGUUGUUUUUUGCCUAUUUCAGAGUUUCGCAGAAAAGGAAUAUCAAACGGAGUCCAAACGGAAUGAAACCUUCGGGAACGUGAUUUUCAGAACGAACAAGAUCCAGGAGACUUGGACCCUACGUCAAGAAAUAAAGGAGGAGGCCACGAGGUAGGGGGGCGCGCCUACCCCCCNNNNNNNNNNNNNNNNNNNNNNNNNNNNNNNNNNNNNNNNNNNNNNNNNNNNNNNNNNNNNNNNNNNNNNNNNNNNNNNNNNNNNNNNNNNNNNNNNNNNNNNNNNNNNNNNNNNNNNNNNNNNNNNNNNNNNUCCAGGGCGCGCCCUCCACCCUUGUGGGCCCCCUGUUGCUCCACCGACGUACUCCUUCCUCCUAUAUAUACCUACGUACCCCCAAACGAUCAGAUACGGAGCCAAAAACCUAAUUCCACCGCCGCAACCUUCUGUACCCACGAGAUUCCAUCUUGGGGCAUGUGCCGGAGCUCCGCCGGAGGGGGCAUCGAUCACGGAGGGCUUCUACAUCAUCACCAUAGCCCCUUCGAUGAAGUGUGAGUAGUUUACCUCAGACCUUCGGGUCCAUAGUUAUUAGCUAGAUGGCUCUUUUUGGAUCUCAAUACAAUGUUCUCCCCCUCUCUCGUGGAGAUCUAUUCGAUGUAAUCUCCUUUUUGCGGUGUGUUUGUUGAGACCGAUGAAUUGUGGGUUUAUGAUCAAGUUUAUCUAUGAACAAUAUUUGAAUCUUCUCUGAAUUCUUUUAUGUAUGAUUGGUUAUCUUUGCAAGUCUCUUCGAAUUAUCAGUUUGGUUUGGCCUACUAGAUUGAUCUUUCUUGCAAUGGGAGAAGUGCUUAGCUUUGGGUUCAAUCUUGCGGUGUCCUUUCCCAGUGACAGUAGGGGCAGCAAGGCACGUAUUGUAUUGUUGCCAUCGAGGAUAACAAGAUGGGGUUUUUAUCAUAUUGCAUGAAUUUAUCGCUCUACAUCAUGUCAUCUUGCUUAAGGCGUUACUCUGUUUUUAUGAACUUAAUACUCUAGAUGUGUGCUGGAUAGCGGUCGAUGAGUGGAGUAAUAGUAGUAGAUGCAGGCAGGAGUCGGUCUAGUUGUCUCGGACGUGAUGCCUAUAUACAUGAUCAUACCUAGAUAUUCUCAUAACUAUGCUCAAUUCUGUCAAUUGCUCAACAGAAAUAUGUUCACCCACCGUAGAAUACUUAUGCUCUCGAGAGAAGCCACUAGUGAAACCUAUGGCCCCUGGGUCUAUCUUCAUCAUAUUAAUCCUCCAACACUUAGUUAUUUCCUUCGCUUUUUACUUUGCUUUUAUUUUACUUUGCAUCUUUAUCACAAAAAUACCAAAAAUAUUAUCCUAUCAUAUCUAUCAGAUCUCACUCUCGUAAGUGACCGUGUAGGAUUGACAACCCCUUAUCGUGUUGGUUGCGAGGAUUUAUUUGUUUUGUGUAGGUGCGAGGGACUCGCGCGUAGCCUCCUACUGGAUUGAUACCUUGGUUCUCAAAAACCGAGGGAAAUACUUACGCUACUUUACUGCAUCACCCUUUCCUCUUCAAGGGAAAACCAACACAGUGCUCAAGAGGUAGCAAGAAGGAUUUCUGGCACCGUUGCCCGGGAGGCUACGCGAAGUCAAGUAAAGACUUGGACUCCCGACAACGAGCCAUUUCUGGCGCCUUUGCCGGGGAGCCUAUAUACAUGAUCAUACCUAGAUAUUCUCAUAACUAUGCUCAAUUCUGUCAAUUGCUCAACAGUAAUUUGUUCACCCACCGUAAAUACUUAUGCUCUUGAGAGAAGCCACUAGUGAAACCUAUGGCCCCCGGGUCUAUCUUCAUCAUAUUAAUCCUCCAACACUUAGUUAUUUCCUUCGCUUUUUACUUUGCUUUUAUUUUACUUUGCAUCUUUAUCACAAAAAUACCAAAAAUAUUAUCCUAUCAUAUCUAUCAGAUCUCACUCUCGUAAGUGACCGUGUAGGGAUUGACAACCCCUUGUCGCGUUGGUUGCGAGGAUUUAUUUGUUUUGUGUAGGUGUGAGGGACUCGCGCGUAGCCUCCUACUGGAUUGAUACCUUGGUUCUCAAAAACCGAGGGAAAUACUUACGCUACUUUGCUGCAUCACCCUUUCCUCUUCAAGGGAAAACCAACGCAGUGCUCAAGAGGUAGCAGAUCCAUGGGCCUUCCAUGGGCCAGCGGCUCCAUGGGCCUUCUAUGGGCCAUCGGGUCAAUGGGCCUUCUAUGGGCCGUCGGGUCAAUGGGCCUUCUACGGGCCGUCUCAUCUAUGGGCCUUGUACGGGCCGUAUAAGGGGCCGUAAACGGGCUAGAGUGGAAAUCGUGCGUUUUAUGGGCUGACCAUAACGGGCCGUUAAACGGCCGUAUUUGAUGAUGCUAUGAAAAUGGCCCAACAGAUUAACGGGCCACAAAAGGGCCGACUGUAUCCACGGGCUGAAUUUGGCCCACUAGCAGAAAAGGCCUAUAACGGGCCGUAAGUAAACGAAUGCCGGAAGUGAGCCCAAGAAUAAAUGGGCCCUGAGAAGGCCGAAAGAUAACAUGGGUUGGAAACGGCCCAACGGUAUAAUGGGCCAUUAAUGGGUAUAAAGUGAUACACUAUUCAUCACGGGCCAGUUUUACCACGGGCCGUUAAUGGGCCGAGGGUUACUAAGGGCCUCAGAUGGGCCAAAAGACGUCAUGGGACAUACAUGGGCCGGAAGUUAAAACGGGCUGGAAUUGUAUUGGACGGCCCAAAUGACGCUACUGGACCUAAUUCGGAUAGGCCGUAAACGGGCCCUGGGUUAGCGGGCUGUAAAUGGGCUAUAUGCGAAUAGGCCGUUAACAGGCUUGCCGUGGGCCGGCCCGCCACCUUUUAACCAAGUCAAACGGGCCGGCCUUUUCACAGGAACGGGCCUCUGUUCGGCCGUGCCAUGUGUCGACGUAUCAUAGGCGCUUUGGGUCCACUGAGUGGAUGACAUCUGUCCCAAUUGUGAGCCGACACGUGUUUCCUCCAGCCAAUGAUGAUUUUACACGUGGAAAAUCCCCAUUGGUCGGGGCUGUUAACGGGUUAUCGGAUCCAAAACCGGACCCGAUAGCUUAACGGCUUUCCGUUACGGUGGAUGCCACGUGUCGAUCACCCUUGACGAAAGCACUUCUGUGACGCGCGAUUUAUCGUCAUGGAAGUGGACACUUCCGUGAUGAUAAUUUUGGUAAUGUCAUGGAACACUUCUACGACAGCACAGGUAUGACUAUCUUGAUUCUGUCAUAAAUUUGUCAUGGAUGUACAUGCAUGACAGAAAACGUGACCUACUAUGACGAACACGUAUCAUCACGGAAGUGUCUUUUUUUUGUAGUGUACGUUGGAGACGUAUCAAGCAUCCCCAAGCUUAAUUCCUGCUCGUCCUCGAGUAGGUAAAUGAUAAAAAUAGAAUUUUUGAUGUGGAAUGCUACCUAACAUAUUUAUCCAUGUAAUUUUCUUUAUUGUGGCAUGAAUGUUCAUAUCCACAAGAUUCAAAAGAAAAGUUUAACGUUGACAUAAAAACAAUAAUACGUCAAGCAUACUAAUAAAGCAAUCAUGUCUUCUCAAAAUAACAUGGCCAAAGAAAGUUAUCCCUACAAAAUCAUAUAGUCUGGCUAUGCUCCAUAUUCAUCACACAAAGUAUUAAAUUAUGCACAACCCCGGUAUUAGUCAAGCAAUUAUUUCACACUUUAGUAUUGUCAAACUUUUUCAACUUUCAUGCAAUACAUGAGCGUGAGCCAUGGAUAUAGCAUAUAGGUGGUAGAAUAUGGUUGUUGUGGAGAAGACAAAAAGAAGGUAGUCUCACAUAAACUAGGCGUAUCAACGGGCUAUGGAGAUGCCCAUCAAUAGAUAUCAAUGUCAGUGAGUAGGGAUUUCCAUGCAACGGAUUCACUAGAGCUGUAAGUUUAUGAAAGCUCACAAAGAAACUAAGUGGGUGUCCAUCCAACUCACUUGCUCACGAAGACCUAGGGCAAUUUGAGGAAGCCCGUCAUUGGAAUAUACAAGCCAAGUUAUAUAAUGAAAAAUUCCCACUAGUAUAUGAAAGUGACAACAUAGGAGACUCUCUAUCAUGAAGAUCAUGGUGCUACUUUGAAGCACAAGUGUGGAAAAGGAUAGUAACAUUGUCCCUUCUCUCUUUUCUCUCAGUAAUUUUUUUGGUGGGCUUCUUUGGCCUCUUUUAUUUUAUUUGGGCUUCUUUGGCCUCUUUUAUUUUUCAUAAAGUCCGGAGACUCAUCCCAACUUGUGAGGUAAUCAUAGCUUCCAUCAUCCUUUCUUCACAUGGGACAAUGCUCUAAUAAUGAUGAUCAUCACAAUUUUAUUUACUUACAACUCAAGGUAAAAACUCAUAAUGACGGAACGGUGGAAGUUGCAUGGAAAUAUAUCUCGGAAUGGCUAUGGAAAUUCCAUAAUAGGUAGGUAUGGUGGUUGUUUUGAGGAAGGGUAAAUGGUGGGUUUAGUGCACCGGCGAAAGUUGCACGGUACUAGAGUGGCUAGCAAUGGUGGAAGGGUCAGAGUGCGUAUAAUCCAUGGACUCAACAUUAGUCAUAAAGAACUCACAUACUUAUUGCAAAAAUUUAUUAGCUAUCGAAACAAAUUAUUAGACGCAUGCUCCUAGGGGAAGGGUUGGUAGGAGUUAACCAUCGCGCGAUCCCGACCUCCACACAAAGGACGACAAUCAAUAAAUAAAUAAUGCUCCGACUUCAUCACAUAACGGUUCACCAUACGUGCAUGCUACGGGAAUCACAAACUUUAACACAAGUAUUUCUACCAAUCCACAAUUACUCACUAACAUGACUCUAAUAUCACCAUCUUCAUAUCUCAAAACAAUCAUAAGGAAUCAAACUUCUCAUAGUAUUCAAUGCUCUAUAUAUUAAAGUUUUUAUUAUAUCUCCCUUGGAUGCCCAUCAUAUUAGGACUAAAUUCAUAACCUAUCCAAAUUACCAUGUUGUUUAGAGACUCUCAAAAUAAUAUAAGUGAAGCAAGAGAGUUAAAUGAUUUCUAUAAAAUAAAGCCACCGCUGUGCUCUAAAAAGAUAUAAGUGAAGCACUAGAGCAAAAUUGCCUAGAUCAAAAGAUAUAAGUAAAGCACAUAGAGUAUUCUAAUAAAUCAUGAUUCAUGUGUGUCCCUCUCAAAAGGUGUGUACAGCAAGGAUGAUUGUGGCAAACUAAAAAUCAAAGACUCAUAUUAUACAAGACGCUCCAAGAAAAAUAUUUAUCAUGUGGCGAAUAAAAAUAUAGCCUCAAGUAAAGUUACCGAUAGAUGAAGACGAAAGAGGGGAUGCCAUCCGGAGCAUCCCCAAGCUUAGGCUCUUGGUUGUCCUUGAAUAUUACCUUGGGGUGCCUUGGGCAUCCCCAAGCUUAGGCUCUUGCCACUCCUUAUUCCAUAGUCCAUCAAAUCUUUAAUCAAAACUUGAAAACUUCACAACAUCAAACUCAACAGAAAACUCAUUAGAUCCGUUAAUAAAACAAAAUCCAAUUCUUGCAUGUAGGUACUGUUGUGAACUCAUUCUUAUUUUAUAUUGGUGUAAUAUCUACUGUAUUCCAACUUUUCCAUGGUUCAUGCCCCCCGAUACUAGCCAUAGAUGCAUCAAAAUAAGCAAACAACACAAAGAAAACAGAAUCUGUCAAAAACAGAACAGUCUGUAAAGAUGUGAAUUGAUGUAAAACUUCUGCAUCUCUAAAAAUUCUGAAAAUUAGGACAACGUGGGAAAUUUGUAGAUCAGAAACGUGUAUAAAAUUCAAGAAUUUAUCGCGCUCCGCUAACCAGAAACAAUUCUGAUACUGGACACAAAAGUUUCUGUUUUUCAACAAAACCAAUCUACUAUCUUUCAAAUCAUCCCAAAGUUCUUACUUGGCACAAACACUAAAUUAAAACUCAUAAACAAAUCUAACUAGAGGUUAGAUGAAAAAUUUAUUGAAAAACAGAACCAAAGAAAGCAAGAACAAAAAUAAAAUUGGGUUGCCUCCCAACAAGCGCUAUUGUUUAACGCCCUUAGCUAGGCAAAAAACAUAGAUCUAGAUAUUGCCAUAAUAACAAUAAUAAGGCAUAUCACGUAUGCUCAUCUCAUACUCCCUUGGUUCAGCAGCAAGCUUUGUUUGUGGUAAGCAAAAGUAAUCAAAAGGGCUAAAUUUAAUAGGGUAAGGAUCCCUAAGAUCAAGUUCUGGAGGAAUUGGCUCCUCCUUCGGCCCCUCGUAUCGUAUGGUCAACUCAUCAUUGUAAGCGUUCUUUUGGCAAAAAUUCAUGAACUUAUUUUCUAGAGAGAAACCUAAUCCGUUGUUUCGUAUAGCAAAAUUAUCAUUAAUUUCAGAAAUUCUCUCAACUAAAACAUUGGUAGGGACCCUUUUUCUUAAAUUUUCGUUAUAAGCAACAUGAUCAAGAGAUCGUAAACGCAUUAUUUCUUCUUGAUUAAAGAGAAUCCCCUAUAUGGGAGGACGACUACCAUCUAUUUUAUAAUGCGCAAAAAUUUCAAUAGCUUCCUUCAUAAUGAAUAUAAACUCAUGAGCUAGAAAUAUGGUAGCGGCGCGUUUAACAGAAGAAUGCUCGAUAUUAGGAAACUCUAGAAAAAUCCUUUGUAUGCACGGAUGCAUUUGAACAAAUUGUCUUUCAAGUUCAAUUACAAGCAAAGUUAUAGCGUCCACGAGACUAUUAGUUUUAUGGAGAAUAGAUCCACCUAACAUGGGUAGCGCACCGGCACAAGUAAAUAAAUCUUGAAUAACCCCUUUUCCAAUAAUAUUGCUGCUACCUAUGCGAAGCUUUUUAGUGUGCAAGAUAGUAGAUUCUUCAUGCGGAUCAAUAUUAGCAAAAUUAUCCAGGUUUUCCUCAUUAUUACUACGAUCUUUUUCAACGAUAACCUCCCCAGAUUCAGACAUGAUGGCAACAAAUCUGUCUAGCAAACGAAUGAACCGGAAAUAAACGAAAAAGACAAACGGAAGAAGGGCGAAUAAAAAGGCAUAUCUUUUUCUGCUUUUCUGAAAAUGUUUUUGAACUAGGGGAGAGGAAAACGAGAGGCGAAUGGCGAAUAAUGUAAUGCAAGAGAUGAGAAUUUAUUAUUGGUACUUGGUAGGCUUGAUGUAGAUCUUGACUUGGCGUAGAUCUCCCCGGCAACGGCGCCAGAAAUUCUUCCUGCUACUUCUUGAUCUUCCAUUGUUUUUUUUCUUGAAGAGGAAAGGGUGAGGCAGCAAAGUAGAGAUAAUUAUUUCCCUCAGUUAAUAACCAAGGUAUCAAUCCAGUAGGAGAAGAACGCGCAAAUCACCAAUACCUGCACGAACAAUCAAAAACUUGCACCCAACGCGAUAAAGGGGUUGUCAAUCCCUUCACGGUCACUUGCAAAAGUGAGAUCUGAUAGACAUAGAUAAAUAAACCUAAACAAAAUAUAAAAUAUUUUUGGAUUUUUCAUUUAUAGAUCUGAAAAUAAAAGAUUACAAAAUAGUAGAUCGGAAACUAAUAUGAUGGAAAAAGACCCAGGGGCCAUAGGUUUCACUAGAGGCUUCUCUCAUGAAGGCAAAUAAUACGGUGGGUGAACAAAUUACUGUCGAGCAAUUGAUAGAAAAGCUCAAUGUUAUGACGAUAUCCAAGGCAAUGAUUAUGUGAUAUAGGCAUCACGUCCAUAUCAAGUAGACCGACUCCUGUCUGUAUCUACUACUAUUACUCCACACAUCCACCGACUCCUGCCUGCAUCUAGAGUAUUAACUUCAUAAAGAACAGAGUAACGCAUUAAGUAAGAUGACAUGAUGUAGAGGAAUAAACUCAAGCAAUAUGAUGUAAAUCCCAUCUUUUUUAUCCUCGAUGGCAAAAAUAAAAUACGUGCCUCACUACCCCUACUUUGUCACUAGGUGAGGACACCGCAAGAUUGAACCCAAAGCCAAGCACUUAUCCCAUUGCAAGAAAAACCAAUCUAGUUGGCCAAACCAAACCGAUAAUUCGAAGAGAACUACAAGGAUAUCUAAUCAUGCAUAUAAGAAUUCAGAGAAGAUUCAAAUAAUAUUCAUAGAUAAGUUGAUCAUAGAUCCACAAUUCAUCGGAUCUCGACAAACACACCGCAAAAGAAGAUUACAUUGGAUAGAUCUCCAAGAACAUCGAGGAGAACAUGGUAUUGAGAAUCAAAGAGAGAGAAGAAGCCAUCUAGUUACUAGAUAUGGACCUGUAGGUCUGUGGUAAACUAGUCACGCUUCACCGGAAGGGCAAUAGAGUUGAUGUAGAUGCCCUUCGUGAUCGAACCCCCCUCCGGCAGGAUGCCAAAAAAGGCCCCAAGAUGGGAUCUCACGGGAACAGAAGGUUGCGGCGGUGGAAAAGUGUUUUUGUGGAUGCUUCUGAGGGUUUCGGAAUAUUUGUGAAUUUAUAGGACAAAGAAGUAGGUCGGUGAAGUCACGAGGGGCCCACAAGGUAGGGGGCGUGCCCACCGCCCUAGGGUGCGCCCUCCACCCUUGCAUCCGCCUCGUGGCUCUUCUGACCUGCACUCCAAGUCCCCUGGGUGCCUUCUGGUCCGAGAAAAAUCAUCGUAAAGUUUCAUUCCAUUUGGACUCCGUUUGAUAUUCUUUUUUUGUUAAACUCAAAAAUAAGGAAAAACAGAACUUGGCACUGGGCCCUAGGUUAAUAGGUUAGUCCCAAAAAUAAUAUAAAAUAGCAUAUUAAUGCAUACAAAACAUCCAAAACAGAUAAUAUAAUAGCAUGGAACAAUCAAAAAUUAUAGAUACGUUGGAGACGUAUCAUUGCCAAACGUAACAAUGUUGUGCAGAAAUGCGGAAGCGACUACAAGUCAGUGGACUGAAAAGCUAUUUUGGGUCAGUUGCUCAUUUCAGUCGAGCCUGCUUCCAGACAACGACCUCACGUUAUAAGCUACCGUCUGCAUAUAUGCACAUAAUAACUCCUACUCAGUCCUCCUCCUAUGUACAUAGUAGUCCUACACAGUUCUAUCCCUACACUAGUACUACUACACAAUGUUGUCACUAUAAAGUAGUUCCUAGAAGCACGUCUACACAUGAACUACGUUGGCUGGCUCGCAACCUGCAUGCGCGAUCGCACGCACUAGCGACGCACGUGCUAGCGGCUCUCAUCUUGUUUCUCAAAAACAUCGCCAUGGUUUGGAGUGUUUCUAUAAAAAUGCUACACCUACAUGGACAUUGCUAACGAUCUCCUAUCUCGUUGGUCAAAAACAGUGCCAUGGUCGGGGGAGUUUCUCUAAAAAAUGAUACACCUACAUGGAUAUUGCUACUGAUUUAUUGUAUCCUUGGUCAAAAACAUCACCACACUCGGAAGUGUUUCUCUAAAAUGCUACACAUACAGAGAUAUUUCUACUGAUCAUCUUUACAGUGAGAUAUGCUUUCUUCCAACCACAGAACUCCCCCUAUUUCCUAAUUAUUAGUAGAAUGCUAUCUGGUCAGAUUCCAAGGAGUUGGGCAGGAUUAUGAAGAGGUUGUCCUUCCUCCGGGACCGCAGGAUUACCCUAGUUGAGGUGGCGCACAUGUUCCUACGCCGCAAUGUCCAACCUCUCUAGCCCUGAGCUCACCCCAUGCGGGCUUAUCCGGGGAAGAACGACAACCACGCCAUAGGAGAAGAUUUUUAUGGUAUGUUCUCCUCUUUGUUCAAGGGGAAGGCUAUGGAUUUUCCCGUGUACGACGUUUGUUUUCUCAUUUCUUAAGCAGAAAUUGAAUAGUUGGAUCUUUACUCACCCAUGUACUUGUUGACGCAAAAGUGGCUCUCCUUCUCGACCGAGGUCCGUACUUCUAAAUUAUAUGGUUUUGCAUAUUAACUAACUACCUACUCAUUGCUCGCUAGGAAAUUUAUAAUAACAUGGUCGAUUAAGAUCCAUAGCCUGAUUUCCAAUGGCACAUAUGUAUUUUUCUCCUCCAGCCACCAAACAUUUCUUUCUUGAGGCCAGUGACUACUACCAUCCGAGAAAGACAUCCCUCUAAUGCACCCAACCCUAGUGUCACCCAGCAUAACACACAGCCCUCUAACACUAAGCCUAAACACUAACUGGUAACCUCUAAUUACUCUCCUCCGUCACCAUCACAUUAAGUCCACUCCACAUCAUCACCUCUAAAAUUUCGCCAGUACCGUGACGGUGGUUGGAGAUUGGAGGUAUCAUUGGGCUGAAUUAACUUAUACUAGAUGUAUAUAGAUUGAUAGAUGUAUUAUUUUUUUCUUCAUUUCCAUGUCAUAGAGAUGUACUUAUCCUUGGAAAAGUUGAAUGGUGUCCUGGAAACCAUCCCACUGGUUAUAGCAGAAUGAUCGAUCUAGUGCUAAUACCGUGUUUUUAUUUCAUGACUCUUUGGUAUUGCAUUGUAUUGCAGUUAUAGAUCUCUGCAAUUGCAAGUUAUAUUUAGUUGUUCCAUUUUCUGCUCUUAUCAUUGUCAAGUUGUAGAUGUAUGCUAUUUGAUAUGUUACAAGCAUGGCAACGCAAGAGGAUAAAUUAUUAGUCGAUAAAAAAACAGUUAACAAAUUUGCAACAUCACAAUUAUUACUACCGAAGUUAUUGCUACCCACCUAUUUCACCUUGGCGAAUGAGAGGAGCUGGCGUUUGUGAGUCCACUCCUGCUCGUACACCUCUGCCUUGUACUUGUCAUCUUUCCCGCCAAUGUCUGAUGCGUCGAUGAUGAGUUUGUAGUUCAUUCCAGAAACAAGUUGUUGCCUGCCACUCACCACCUUGUUGAACUUGAGCACGCAGUUCACGUGCUUGGCGAACUCCAACACCGCCCAACGUCCGAGCUCCUGGAUGUGUUGGUCAUUGAUGUUUCCAAUUGGUUUCCAUCCAUUCUCUAUUGUUGUGUUCCACAAUUGGUUACCCAUCCGUUCCCCACAGCCUGUGGCGGGUGAGCCAAUGGCAUAGAGGAACGCAACAACGAUGAUGAGGAGGAAGCUAGAUGUCCUCAUGGCUAUUGGAUUGUCUAAUGGGGUUCUAUAUCUUGAGAUAGUUAUGUGGGACUUUGGUGAGUUGGUGAUGUGAGUCGAUCCAAAACAAGUGAGAUAGGUGUGCUUAAAUAGACAUUGUUAUAAGGGGCAGCCAUUAAUAGGAUGCUUAUCCAAGUAGGCAUUUACAAUGGCAUUUAUGACAACCUUUUAUACGGGGACAAACUUUAUUCACAAGUUAAUCAAUUGGAUCCAUAUCCAAAGAAUUUGACCUACUUAAACUUAGAAACGUUUAAAUACAUGCUUUCUUGAUGGUUGUAUUUCAUAGCCGGGUAGUAACUAGUGCACCCACUGACAAGUUGUGACUAAUAUCUUAUCCAUAAAAUGGUCAAAAUUAAAAUAAUUUGCCUUAUGGGUAGUAAAAACCUGUAUUUAAACCUUUGUAUGAAAAUAUAUCUAGAUUUCUAUCAUGGAAAUACUAAUAGUUAUAAUUAUACAAAUUGUUCUUAAAAUUUCAUAUAUAUUUUUGGAGUAAUACUUCAACUAUUAUCUUGGUGCCAAAAUUUGGGUUGAUUCGUCACACAACCACUUAUCUUUCUUGUGCUUGGAAACUUGAGUAUGAUAUGAGCAAUAUGAAACGUGUGGAUCUUUAUUAAACCCAAAUGAUAAGUGGCCAAUAUGUGGUACGAAGCAACAUGGUCCUAACGCCCCUAUUAUCAUCCACUUUGCCACAUCAAAUGGAUAACAUCAGCAGAUUUUUUUUUUUGUUUUUUAGACAUCAAAAUGUAUUAUCUCCCAAAUAAUAAAUUUGAUUACAAAUCUAUUUUCAUCGUUAAAUCUGCCUUGACGAGAUAUUCAAAACUAUAUCCCAUAUUGCUAUGUUUCGACGAUUUUUUGUGUGCCAAAAGUUGCCAUGAUAUUUACAUUGAAAUUGUCAUAGUGUUUACACUAAAGUUGCCAUGAUAUGUUUCAUCUAUUUUUCUUCUUCUAGAUUUUGAAGCUGCCAUUUUAUAUCAACUAAUUUUCACAUAAAAUUUUAUGAAUGGAUCGUGGAAAUUUUUAGUAAUUAACCACGGUGAAAUUAAUUCAUGGAUCAUGGCAAUUUUUAGUAAUUCAUCUUGGAAAUUUUAGUUUAAAAAUCAUGGCAAAUUUAGUUUAUAGAUCAUGGAAAUUUUAGUAGUUUGACCAUGAAAUUUUAGUAUUUGACCAAGGAAAAUUUUUUUGGUAUGAACCAUGGCAAAUUUUAGUGCAUGUAUCUUUGCAAAUUUAAGUAAUUCACCAUGGUAAUUUUAGUGUAUGGUUCAUGACAAAUUUGAGUCAUUGACCUUGCAUUUUUAAAAUAAUGAACAACGGGUUUCUUUUCUAAUUAUUAACCUUCAUGCCUAGAAGAGAACUAACUAGAUGCUUCAUUUGGUUGUGUGUAUAAUUGGUCUAGGGGUAUAAGAUAUAUCAUACGUGUUUGCUACUAUUUUAACAUGAAAGAAAAGUAGCGGAUAUGUUACAACAUAUACACAUAUUGCUAAAAUAAAUAAUUCUAUGAGGCAGUGGUAACACACACAGAGACAUGCAUAACAUGUUCAAGAUUAGGAAUCAUCCGCUUCUACGCGGUGUCAAAACACAUCAUAUAUAUGCCGAAAUUGCAGCCCGAACCGAAGGAGAUAUAUAAAAAUACCCAAGUAAUCUCAUAACAGCUAUCUCUGUUUCAAACAUUCCAUCCGUCUAAGAUGAAUCUUCUCUAGAAACUUAGGUGUACCAACUUGCUCGUACGCAAGUCACCACAAUGAAAACAAUCGUAUAUAUGAUAAACAAGGCCACAUGUGCAAUCAUGGCAACCAUCAGCACACCCCACGGAAAGUGUUAGGAACCUUUCGCCACUAGAGAGGUCGUAGUACAAAGGAGAAUUAUCCUUGAGACGCCGACGACGUACAAUGGUGUCGUCCACAGCAGUAGGUAUGGCCUUGUAAUUCACGGCAAUAGUCUCCCUCACAUAGACAGAGACAUCAUCGUCCUCGAUGUAAAUUCCAUGGUCAAUAGUAGUGAAGAGAGUAUUACCUCCGAUGCUUGUUACUGGGACAACCUUGCCCAUGAUAAGAUCGGCUACUUUGUAGACGAGCAUGCGCCCCUCUAAAAGUGGGUUAGCGUCGUGACCAAUCAGUCGGAUCUCCGAGACGCAUUCUUCCAUGCUGAACCGGCCUCUGAUUUUGUCAUUGGGACACGUGGCAAUCAACCUUGGCGGCAACAAAUAAGAUGACACUGCGUGAUGACCGAGGCGGGGUGGAUCGAUCUGCAGAAUAAGUUGUUUGCCGCCAUAUGUGGUGGGAGAAUCCAACACAAAUAAUUUUCCUUGGGGUGAUAUUGUAUGAGAGUAGCCUUGGAGGCUCCAAGUCGAGACACUCCAUUGCUGGUCCUUGGUAGUAGCAAAGAAUACUCGUGGUAUAUUAUAAAGCUUGAUCAUAACGGUGACGACUCCAUCAAUACUCACGCUCAUUGAGGUGACACCACUGAAAGCAACAUGUCUCCUGCCAUUUGACAUAUCCAAGUUGGCCCUUACCAGGGACAUGAGCGGCGGUAGCUCCACAAAGUCGUCGGUGAAAGGGUGGAGGAUAUGCAUACAGUGCUUAAAAGUUGGAAAACGUUUCACGCCAGCGCGCCCGCCGAAACUAUGGUUUGUCGGUUGCGAGCCAUGUGAUCAAGCCCCCAUUGUACGUCUCGCACAUCACCCUGGCCCAUCUUAUCUCUCAGCCUAGCGCGCUGGUGGCCACACUCCUCGUCUUCCUCCUUCGGAUCCCGCCGCCGUCUAGCCCCAAUCGCGGCUCAAGCUCAAGAAGGCGACACCCAUGGAUGACGGUGCUCCUCCAAGGCAACCAUGUUGGUGUGCUUGCCGAUGGCCUCGUCGACAUGCUUGCCUUCGGCGAGCCUCGUUGAUGGCGGUCGGGGCAGCGUGGGAGGCGUCAGCUUGGGAGUGGGGGCUCGGAAGGAACAAAUGAGGAGACUGCUCCCGGCAGCCUCGUCGGAUGAUUUGAAUAAUUCCCGAAUUUAUAUAGGCAGUUUUAUUGUUGGCCCAUCCUGCCUUAUGUGGAUUAGCUCCACUGGGGGAUUAUUCGCCCUGCACGCAACGCUGUUACUGUAUUGUGAUUGCGACAACUGGGAGAAGAGGGCCUCGCCGACGGGCGAUGGCAGGCCGGAGACGGGGCACGCGUGCGUCGGUGUCGAACGCUGCCGACCCUCCCUUACUGGGCCGGGUAAUAGCAAGGUACGACAUGAUCCAAGGUCCAAUUCUGCCGAGAAAUUAUGACCCGACCCAGUAAUCUUUGCCGAUCGACUCGAGUUCCGAUCGGUUUGAUCUCCUCGUGGCGGAGUCGUACACAGUCUGCGUCUCAGCUAUCCCUCGGUACGUUCUUCUAGAAAAACUACCCCUCGGUACGUAGAGCUAGGGUAGAAAGACCAGAUCGAUCUUCUACUUUUCGAGAGAAGAGAGAAGAUAUGCCGUCUGCGAUCGAUCCACCGAUGUCAUCAUCACGGGCCAACCACGACGGCGCAUCAGCCAUCGCUGAUGCUGCUGCCUCCGCCGCCAGCUCCGAAGACGACGUCUCUCCAUGGUCGUCUCUGCAUGCAGAUUUGGUUCGUCAACUCGGCUGGGAGGUGCUGGCCGGAGAUAUACUGGACUAUGUCCGAUUUCGUGCCGUGUGCGCCCACUGGCGGUCCAGCACCGUCGCGCCGCGGGGGCACGGCAUCGUCGACCCACGCUUCCACCCCAAGAGGUGGUUCCUGCUGCCCGAGGGUCACGGCCUGCACCCUGCUGACGGCAAGAAACGUUUCUUCAAUCUCUCCACAGGAGUUUUCGUCCGUGUCUUGCUCCCCUUCUUAAGCGAUAGCUAUGUCCUUGACUCGGCCGAUGGCCUCCUCCUCUUGCAACGGAAAAGCCAAGACACCUCCGCGAUCCGGCUCCUCCACCCUUUCACCGACGACUUUGCGGAGCUACCACCGCCCAUGUCCCUUGUAAGAGCUAACUUGGAUAUGUCCGAUGGCACACGACGGGUUGAUUUCCGUAGUGUCACUUCCAUUAGCGUCACUGUUGAUGGAGUCGUCGCAGUCAUGAUCAAGCUUUACAAUAUAUCACGUGUAUUCUUUGCUACUACUAAGGACCGGCAGUGGAGUGUCUCGACUUGGAAUAUCGGAUGGUACUCCGAGACAAUAUCGUCCAACCACAUAUCGCCGUGAACAACAUAUUCUCCAGAUCGAUCCACCCCGCCUUGAUCAUCACGCCAUGUCAUCUUAUUUGUUGCCAUCAAGGUUGAUUGCCACGUGUCCCACUAACAAAAUUUCUGGCAUGUUCUACAUGGAAGAUUGUGUCUCGGAGAUCCUAGUGAUUGGUCAGGAUGCUAACCCAUUUUUCAAGGGCCGCUUGGUCGUCUACAAAGUAGCCGAUCUUAUCAUGGGCAAGGUUAUCCCGGUAACAAGCAUCGGAGGUAAUACUCUCUUCACUACAAUUGACAAUGGAAUUAGCAUUGACGAUAAUGAUAUCUCUGUUUAUGUGAGGGAGACUAUUGUUGUGAGUUACAAGCCCAUACCUACUGCUAUGGGCGACACCAUUGUACGCCGUCGGCGUCUCAAGGAUAAUUCUCCUUUGUACUACGACCUCUUUAGCGGCGAAUGGUCCCAAGGACCGGCCAUGGAGUGUGCUGAUGGUUACCAUGAUUGCACCUGUGUCCUUGUUUAUCAUAUCUACGAUUGUUGUCAUUGUGGUGACUUCCGUGCGAGCAAGUUGGUACACCUAAGUUUCUAGAGCAGAUACUCGUGUGUCAUAGAGAUGUACUUAUCCUUGGAAAAGUUGAAUGGUGUCCUGGAAACCAUCCCACUGCUUAUAGUAGAAUGAUCGAUCUAGUGCUAAUACCGUGUUUUUAUUUCAUGACUCUUUGGUAUUGCAUUGUAUUGCAGUUAUAGAUCUCUGCAAUUGCAAGUUAUAUUUAGUUGUUCCAUUUUCUGCUCUUAUCAUUGUCAAGUUGUAGAUGUAUGCUAUUUGAUAUGUUACAAGCAUGGCAACGCAAGAGGAUAAAUUAUUAGUCGAUAAAAAACAGUUAACAAAUCUGCAACAUCACAAUUAUUACUACCGAAGUUAUUGCUACCCGCCUAUUUCACCUUGGCGAAUGAGAGGAGCUGGCGUUUGUGAGUCCACGUCUGCUCGUACACCUCUGCCUUGUACUUGUCUUCUUUCCCGCCAAUGUCUGAUGCCUCGAUGAUGAGUUCGUAGUUCAUUCCAGAAACAAGUUGUUGCCUGCCACUUACCACCUUGUUGAACUUGAGCACGCAGUUCACAUGCUUGCCGAACUCCAACACCGCCCAACGGCCGAGCUCCUGGAUGUGUUGGUCGUUGAUGUUUCCGAUUGGUUCCCAUCCAUUCUCAAUUGCCGUGUUCCACAAUUGGUUGCCCAUCCGUUCCCCACAGCCUAUGGCAGGUGAGCCGAUGGCAUAGAGGAACGCAACAACGAUGAUGAGGAGGAAGCUAGAUGUCCUCAUGGCUAUUGGAUUGUCUAGUGGGGUUCUUGAUCUUGAGAUAGUUAUGUGGGACUUUGGUGAAUUGGUGAUGUGAGUGGAUCCAAAACAAUUGAGGUAGCGGUGCUUAAAUAGACAUUGUUAUAAGAG